rnacentral:lncRNA from 1 species
GCUCAGUUUCUUCCCUUGCUGCGCAGCCGCAACUUACUCUCUUAUGUUACUGGCGAAACUCAAUGCCCCUCUUUCUUCUUGAUGACAAUGGUAAAUUCACCGAUAAAGUCAAUCCAUUAUAUAAUGAAUGGAUCCAGACUGACCAGAUGAUCCUAUCUUGGAUUACGAGUUCUCUUACUCCCAAGGUUCUUGCUACGAUCGUCAACAAAAUUGAUUCGGCCUCUGCUUGGUCGUCAAACUCGAAUUAAUCUGAUUGUGAGGGUUUUGUUUUAUAUCAAUAUAUUGCAACAGAAGUCACACUUUGAAGAGUUCAUGCUGCACAGAAAGAUGAUGAAAUGCUACCCGUUGAGUCUAUCAUUGCUCCAUUGGAGACAGAGCUGAAGCUUACUGCAGGAGUUAUACAUUUGUUAUGCAAUAUGACCCCUUUAAUUUUAUUUUAAAACUGAUACAAAAAUACUACAAAAAUUUAUGUAGUAUUUUUGUAUCAGUUUUGAGUGUCUAUUUUGGCUUCCAUAUAUCGUCUGUACAUGUGAGAGGUAUAGUGUUCAAUAUGUAUUUGGUUUCUAUAUUGUUAAUGGAUCCUUUUUUUUUUUUUAAUUUUAAUAUAAUUUUAUUAAGGUAACCAAGUUGCAGGAUGACAUCAGAACACUUGAUCUGCAGGUAAACCUUCAAUUUCCAUAUGAAGUUUGCAUGUUCGUUGUUUCUGGAAUUUGAGUUUUUAUUAUUUCUCAAUUCUAUCACAUAGAUUACGAUUUCACAUAUGUGAUUAUUAAUGGCAAUUAUAUGAUAGAAGAAUUGGGAUUGGAAGAAGAUAUUGAGUUGUUUAUUUAUGGGGAUUAGAAAAUGAUUAUCAUACAAGUGAUAUUUAUUUUUGUGUGGAUUGUUAAUAUAUAAAACUAUAAGCUUUUGAGAUUGGGAGAUAAAACCCACAAAUUCAAAUCAGACAAAAUAAAUAAAAAAUUUAACUGACUUAAAGAUCAAACUCCAAAAGGGUAUUAAAAACAAGGCUUAUUUGAUCCAUUGAGUGUGAAAGUUUUGAGCUUUGAAGAAGCAUAGGAGGAGAGUUGUUAACCAAGCUGCAUUAUCCAUGUAUUAGGAUGUUGAGGGUAGGCAGGAAAAAUACUUUUUGACGCCAUAUCCAGAGGAGCAUAACGACAGGCCUGCAUUUUUGCAGCAAGGACCAAAACAAGUAGAAGUGAAGGCUUGACUGUUUGGGUAUUAAUCCUAAACCUAAUUAUUCUUAUUUAGGUUUAGGAUAAAUGAUUGAGUGUGUCUCGAUGAUUGUAUUACCAUGUUUGAUGAAUGACUUGAGGAGUUGGAAAUGGUUUAUUGCUUAUGUUUUUCUUAGGUGUGUACUUUGGUUAUUUCCGAGCUUUUCACGACUCUUGAUACCUAAUAGAGAAAAUGGAAACCCCAACUUUAAUUUUAUGAAUUGGUUUUGGUGCCUAAAAUGAAAUCUAGCAUAGUGAAAUCUUGCAUAAUGAAAUUAUGACAAAUUUCCCUUCAUCUUUAGAUUUUCAUUUAGUUCAAUUUGUAUGCAAUUUAGGGUUAUUCAAUUCAUGAGUGAUCAAAUUAUGUUUUUAAUUCCUUCUUCUUUUGAUUUACAGUUCAACAUUGUCGUACAAAAUGAAAAAGGUGCCAGUAACAUAGUUAUGGAUUUGGAUGCCUUUAGCGGAAUAAAACUGAAUUUUUUAACUUUGUAUAGUUGUAAACAUAAAAUACUCCAUCAGAUAGACUCAUAGCAUUUGAAAACAAUCCUUGAGGAUGGCAUAACAACAUCUCCAACUUUUGUCAUGUAAUGUAUGAAUGUAAAUAGCACUUUGUAAACAUAUGGAUGUAAUAUAUGUAUAUAAACAGUCUUUAGCAUGUAUAUUUUUCAAAACUUUCUACAUCUUCAACAAUGUUUCAAUGAUUUCUUGAUGUAAACAAUGAUAAUUUGAAGAACCAUUUAAAGUUUUCGGUAAUCAGCAUACUUAAGCUUAAAUGUGAUAUAUCCGUUUAGUAUUUUUUAUACAGUGAUAAUACUCAAGUAUAAUUUACAUCAUAUAUCUUUUGAAGUACAUGAAACUAUGAAGAAAAAACCCUAAUUAAUCUGAUUAUGGGGGUUUUGUUUUAUAUCAAAAUAUUGCAGCAGAAGUCACACUUUGAAGAGUUCACGCUGCACAGAAAGACGAUGAAAUGCUAUCUGUUGAGUCCAUCAUUGCUCCAUUGGAGACAGAGCUGAAGCUUGCUGCAGGUGGUAUACUUUUGUUCUGCAAUAUGACCCCUUUAAUUUUAUUUUAAGACAGAUAGGGUUGAAAAGAAUUUAUGUAGUAUUUUUGUAUCAGUUUUGAAUGUCUAUUUUGACUUCCAUAUUUGGUCUGUACAUGUGAGGUAUAGAGUGUUCAAUAUGUAUUUGGUUUCUAUAUUGUUAAUGGAUCUUUUUUUUUUGUUUUUUAGGUAACCAAGUUGCAGGAUGAAAACAAAACACUUGAUCAGCAGGUAAACCUUCAAUUUCCAUAUGAAGUUUGCAUUUUUGUUGUUUCUGGAAUUUGAGUUUUUUGCAGGAUGAAAACAGAACACUUAAUCUGCAGGUAAACACUUGAUUUGUUAUUUCCAAGCUUUUCACGACUUUCGAUACCCAAUAGAGAAUAUGGAAACCCCAACUUUAAUUUUAUGAAUUUGUUUUGGUGCCUAAAAUGAAAUCUAGCAUAGUGAAAUCUUGCAUAAUGAAAUUAUGACAAAUUUCCCUUCAUCUUUACAUUUUCAUUUAGUUCAAAUCGUAUGGUUUAGGGUUAUUCAAUUCAUGAGUGAUCAAAUUAGGUUUUUAAUUCCUUCUUCUUUUGAUUUUCAGUUCAGCAUUGUCGUAUUUUGGAUGCCUUUAGUGGAAUAAAACUGAAUUUUUUUAACUUUGUAUAGUUGUAAACAUAAAAUACUCCAUGAGAUAGACUCAUAACUUUUGAAAACAAUCUUUGAGGAGGGCAUAACAACAUCUCCAACUUUUGUCAUGUAAUGUAUGAAUGUAAAUAGCACUUUGUAAACAUAUGUAUGUAAUAUAUGUAUAUAAACACCACUCUUUAGCAUAUAUAUUUUUCAAAACUUUCUACAUCUUCAACAAUGUUUCAAGCCCCGCGGCAACGGGCGGGUACACUUGCUAGUAUACAUCUAAAAUUAUAAGACUAAAUCCUUUAGUUCUUGGAUUCAUCUAAGAACUACUUAUUCCAGCAGAUGCUAUGCUUGCACUACUAGAAUUUAUGGCUUGCCCUGUCAACUAUUGCGCGACAGAAGAUUUCGUCGGUUUCACCUUUUUUAACCGACAGAAUAUAAGUUUAGUAGGGCAAAAUCAGUCAACAAACUGGGUUGAUUGAAUAAAUUUACAGGAUGGCUAGAGUUCGUAGGUUAAGACAUCGGUCGUUGGGCAAACAUUUGGAGCGAAGAUGUGAGUGUUUUAACUGACGAAUAAGCUGGUCGUCAUGUAGAUCUUCUUUCCCGACGGACGGUUCAACAGGUAGCUCUUUGGAUAAUAAUUCAUCUUCAAGGGGAACAGGUUGCCCCUCAGAUGAAUGGUUAGAGGCAAUUGUGAGACUAUAAUUUUCUAGGGCCGGAAUAAAAAAUACAUAAACCCUCACCUAUUCUGUCUCUGUAACCAUCCACCAAAUACCCAUUUUUCCCUUUCUAUUUCUCUCCUAGUAAUUUCCCCUGACCGAAUCACACAAUCCAACCAACUCUCUUUAAGCCUCCCUCACUGAUUCCAUGGAUUUCAUGGACUUAUCCCACCCUCUCUCCUUCCUUCUAUAUAUAGCAAGUCCCCUUGCCUCAGUGUCCCUGGCAACAGAAUUUAUGGCGUUUCUUCGUUCUUUCAAUUAUUUGAAAGCUUCCCUGCCCUGCAAUCUUGUAUAAAGGCGUAUGGUGUUUCAUCAGUUCCAUUUGGUGGUCGGGUGGGAAAUGAAAUUAAAACACUGCAUUUCAAAUGCAUUUCAAAUGGUCUAAACCAAAUUGAAUCAAAUGUGAAGCAAAGGGCAAGAGGUGUAGAUUGAAGAACAAUGGCACCAAGAGCGAAAUUGAACUUGUUGACAGGAGGAAACCAAGUAAGGAUAACACGUCUAAAUCUUAUUUUGAAUCCAUUCAGCUCAUGAUGUUUUGAAUGAUGAUGAUCGGUAUACUCUGCUACAUGCUGUGAUUUUUCCGCUUUCAUGUAAUUAACGGCUUAUAUUUGUGGUAACCAUAUUGAUUAAAAAAGGUCGUACCCAGUGCACAAGGCUCCCGCUUUACGCAGGGUCUGAAAGGUGAAUGUCGGCUAGCCUUACCCCCAUUUUAUGGAGAGGCUGCUCCAAAGUCUCAAACCCAAGACCUACCGCUCAUGGGCGAAGACACUUGCCAUCGCACCAAGUGCGAUAUUGAUUAAUUUCGAGAAAUGACAGUCUAAUUUUUGCAACUGUCUUUUGCAGGCAAAACAAAGACGUUUGCAAGGGUGAGUUGUGUAGGAGCUUUGUUUCAUGUCCAAAGGACACUUGAGAAUAAAUGUUUACACUCAUGGAUAAUAUCUAUCUAUUUGCAGGAGUAACCCUGGGUUCAUUUGUUCUGUAACUGCUGGUCAUUGCGGCAUAUCACGCCUAUAGCACUGACAAAAGUAAAAAGAGAAUCGAAUGAAAUUUGAUAAGUUUUCAGCGGACUACAAAGAUCUUAAGCCAAGCAUAUAUUCCCAUGCAGAUAUUAAGAGGUUUACAAAUCAAUUCAAGUACAAGUUGGGCCAAGGAGCAUACGGAACUAUUUUUAAAGGAAUGCUUUUUUCUGAAUGCUUUGUUGCCAUGAAGUACUUAACAAUGGGCCAUAUUCACCAUGUCAAUGUGGUUCACUUGGUUGGUUUUUGUGCUGAUGGAUUUAGAUGAGCUCUGGUUUAUGAGUUCUUUUCCUUUGGUUCACUCCAGGAUUAUAUUUCAUCAGUAGAUAGAUUUCUUUCCUUGGUUGGCAUAAGUUACAAGAUAUUGCUAUCAGCAUAGCCAAAGGAACCAAGGAUGUGAUCUACAAAUCCUCCAUUUCGAUAUCAAACCCCAUAAUGUUUUGCUCAACCAAAAAAUCACGCCAAAAAUCUCUGAUUUUGGUCUGGCCAAGUUAUGUUCCAAGGAUCAAUCGGCGUGACUAAAGCAAGGGGGACUAUGUGACUAAAGCACCCGAAGUGUUUUCCAGGAAUUUCGGAAAUGUGUCUUACAAGGCAGAUGUCUUGAAUGCUGCUGCUUGAGAUGGUAGGAGAAAAGAAGAAUAUUGGUUCAACCAGAGGACACGACAAAUGAAAUCUACUAUCCAAAAUGGAUUUAUAAUCUUCUAGAGGAAGGAAAUGACCAACAGAUCCCUAUUGAGGAAGAAUGUUAUGGUAAGAUUCCAAAGCAACUUGCAAGUUUAGGGCUCUGGUGCAGCCAGUGACACUCAGUGGAUCGGCGGUCCAUGAAAACGGUGGUUCGGAUGUUAGGAGGAGGAGAAAACUUGAUGAUGCAAGCAACCCUAAAAGCCUCAUACAGUUAGAAGCAAUUGCUGAAUUAGAGUAACAUACGUAUAUGUAUACGCACCAACACAAGUCGUUCUUAGAUGAAUCCAAGCCAAACAAUUACAGACAAUAGUUAUUCACUAAAUCACUUUAAGGCAAGAAUUUAAUUAAUAAUACAUUACUGCACUUUCUUAACCAUUUGACUAUCACCUAGCUGACAAUGAACACGUUAGCUCCGCGUUAGAACAUCUUGGGUUCAAUUCAUUGUCUUGAAUAUCACCCACUGUCACAGGCGUCUUUUGGGGGCAUAGAGAAGGCCUGAGAGGCAUUUGCAGACAUUCAACAUCUCCUCCAAGCAUUUUGACAACUUUGGACAUCGAAGGGCGAUCACUUGGUUUCAUUUGAAUACACCACAAGGCGGUUAUAACCAUCUUUCUUAUUACUUUCUUUUCCUCCUCUGUAACAUUGUCCAUUUCCAAGUCAUUUCCUACAAUAUACUGAUCGUAUACCCACAUUGGGAAGUAGAUUUGGCUUGAAUGCUCUACCGUUGGAUUCAAAUUCCUCCUUCUGCUUGCCAUUUCCAUCAACAACAUUCCAAAACUAUAGACAUCUGACUUAUAUGAGACGCCUCCAAUAUUUUUGUAGAACAACUCAGGAGCAAUAUAUCCCAGUGUACCCCGUGCUGCUGUCAAAGAGACAAUGCUAUUAUCUACAUGAUACAAUUUUGCAAGCCCAAAGUCAGAAACCUUUGCUUUAAAGUUCUCAUCAAGAAGGAUGUUAUGAGGCUUGAUGUCGAAAUGUAGAAUUUGCAUUUCGCAACCUUGGUGUAGAUAUUCGAUCCCUUGAGCCACUCCAAGAGAAAUCUCGUACAUGUUCUUGAUAGUUAAGGGGACACUUCCUUCUUUGGAAUAAAUGUAUUUAUCAAGAGAACCAUUAGGCAUGAAGUCAUAGACUAGAGCGCGUUUUGAUCCCUCAACAUAGUAUCCAACAAGUUGCACCACAUUGGCAUGGUGAAUCCUUCCGAUUGUAGCUAAUUCGCUAAUGAAAUCUUGGCCAUCAGCUUUGGGCUUGGCCAAAACUUUAACUGCUACAAAUCGACCACUGCGUAGCUUUCCCUUAAAUACAGAGCCAAAGCCACCUUUGCCCAACUUGUCCUUAAACUUGCGAGUCAUUUUCUUGACGUCCGAGUAAGAGUACCUUAUAGGCAUGAAGUUGUUAUUGCAUUGCAGAAAAUCUUCUAUUGUGCUAUACAUUGAUAAAUGUCUUCUGCGCCAUGUGUAGAUUAGAAAUGCAGUCACAAUUGGAACUCCAAAAACAAAUCUGGCUAGGAAAAAUAACCCUACAUGCAUUGACAUUAAUAUGUUAGAUCCACUGCGUACUACUUUUUCUUCCCUUUCUUUCCAAAUUACUUUGUCUUUGAUGUAAUUAAAGAGAGAAUGGGAAAUGUACAUAUGUUGAUAAUACAAUCUCGUCUUAGUCCUUACCGAUGCAUAUGAGUAUAAACCAUACACGUACUGCAACAAAAUCAAUCGACUAUGAGUUUGAAAAGUGCAUAAAGUGAAAAAAAAAUAAAAAAAAUCAAAGGGUGCCUUUAUUGACAUCCAAAUUUUAGUUAGUUUUACUCAACUAAAAAAUUUUUGUCAUCAAACUUUUUAAUUUGCCGUCGAAAUUGAGUUCACCCAACCCACAAAGCAGCAACUACCACUCACCAAAAAAACCAACAACACACAGCCACCAGUACCAUUCACCAAUAGAAAGAGAAGGAACACACAGACCCACCAAGGAGCCGGCAUCGACGCGUCUACGAGGGAGGGACCGGAGGGUGGUGUAGUUUUGUUGGGCGCGCGGUAGUGGUUUUGUCUGUUCAUUUUCUCUUUGUUUUGGUAGGUGGAGGCUGGUGUGGAUUUGGGCGAACUUAAAAAUGAGGGGAAACUAUGAAGUUUGACAAAAUGUUUUAGUUAGGUGAACUUCACUAAAAUUUGGGUGCCGAUAAAGAUACCCAAAAUCAAAAGACUAGAUGGACUAAUUAAAUGAAGCUCUUACCCAUAUAUAACGAUGGACGCAACUUGCCAGCUGCUGCAGUACAUACCACGGAAAAGUGAGCAAAGACAUACAGUUACUAGGUUUAAGAAGUACAGAUAGAGCACACAAAAAAUAAAAGAAGCUUUUGGGAAGAAACUUCUUACGCAAAUAGAUUUUUUUCAUGACCUACAGUAAAAAAAUGUCAAGAAGAAUACACAACAUUAGCAAUAGCUCACCCAGUCUUCAAAAUUUAAAAAAUCAAGUUUGUCGAUCGAAAACUUGUAAAUAAAACAAAAAGAGGACCCCUUACCGAUUUGUUGCCAUAGAUAUUGAAAGAAACCUACAAGAACAAAGAAAGAACAAGACCACAUGCAUUAGAAUAACAAGUGUGAGGUGUAUAAGCCGUUAGAAAAUAAAUUUAAAAUUCUAGUGCUGUCAAUACAUUGAUAAUAUAUAUAUAUAUAUAUAUAUAUAUAUAUAUAUGUAUGUAUGUAUUAUUUUUUCUGAAAAUUUAACUUUUCCCGUCCAAACUCAUUUUUCUAGUCUCUAGCCCAACAUAUAAUAUUUAUCUGAAUAAAACCAAAUGAUUAGGAUCCAACUAAGAAACUUACCAAAUUAAGUUUGUGUGUCCAUUUUUAUAUUUUUUGGAUCCCUAAUAUACCCCAUCUAAGCCAGUAUGGAAAGGUCUUGUAAUUUUGCUUUAAGUGAUUACGUGCAUUGAAUUUGGCAAGGUCUUAUAGCCAUGAAAUAUGGUUCUAGAUGGAGGAAUUAAUUUGGAAUUUUUUUUAAUUUCGACAACAAAUUUCAAUUUGAAUAUACCUAAUUUAGUGUUUAUUUUCAACAAUAAAUGUGCCUACUUUUUAAAUUUGUAACAAAAUUAAUUUACCUACUUUUUAUGGUAUUAGUGACACACCCUGUCCCGAAGGAGGGCAUGCUGGCCGUCACGAGAGAGUGACGUAACCAUUUGCACAGUACGGAAGCUUUAAGAUACAAUUUAUAAGUUGAUACACCCGAAGGUGAGUCCUAAUUUUUGUCCAAUCUGUCAGAACACCGUCAAAUUCCUCGUAGUCACCACACCUUUGUGAUUCCUGAACCUGGAGGGGCGCAAAACCAAAAUUGAGUGGGUCAGUAAAACAAUUCUUUUCCAAAUCCAAACAUUUCUCAAAACGUUGUAACCCUCUCCGUAAAACUUGUAUACUUUCCCAGAAAUGUAAAAUAUAAAUAUACAUAUAUAUUCUCAAACUUCAUUUUUACUAUCUCAACAUUUUUCUUUAUCAAACAUGCCAUGCCAUGUCUAAUUCAACAGUUAAGUAUGGAUGCAUCAACAAUAAUCAUAUCAGGUGCAAGAAAGUAAUCAACCGGAGGCCCUCUAAUAGCCCUGUACGGUUGAACCUAGAGCUCAAAAUCUAUCACUCUCACUCUGCCGGGAGUCACCUCUGUGACCUGUCCGGCCUUCUGCACACAAGUUACGCUCUAGUGCUUUCUCAUCAAUCAUCUGUGCACAUAAUCUAAGGUCACCCACCAGUCGAAAUCUCACUAACACUCUUCGACUGGCCCGUCGCACCCACUCCGCGUGGACUGUGCGACCAGCAUCUACUUGGAUCCAAGGCGAGCGUGCGAUGCGGUGAAUACUAUAAGCACUAAACCAUGGUGCAGGAUUUGAGCUCAAUAUAUAUCAACAUCAUCAUAACAGUACUUAAAUACUCACCUGAUACUCACCUGUGCGUCCGCCGCACCAAUUCAUACAUAUGCAUCAUAUUUCAAUUCAUAUCAUUUCAUGCAUGGCAAUUCGAUUCACAUUUCUAUAUACAUUUCAUAUACUUCUAUGCAUGACCUUUCAAUUCACGUUUUCAUAUAAUUCUAUAUACCUUUCAUUUAAAACAUAAUUUCAUUCUAAUUCAAUUUCUGGGAAAACGUCAAGUAUAUAUAUACGGAAAACAAAACUGCCCACUCACCUGGAGUUCGUCCAACAACUCCCUAGCACCACACAUCAAGGCGUCAUGACGAUCGCCGUCUAGAACAGUAAUCAAAUCCAGCCUCAGAAUUCAUAUCGAUAGAACAUAUAACUUAUAUAAAAUAUGUCACUACGUAGAUCGAUCCGGAAGAUCUGCCACUCAGAUUUUAAAUCCAUAACUUCCAGAGGUCCACAAUAUAUCUCUAGGAUAACAUCCUAAAAUUUCAUUACCAUCCAACGGUCGGAUCUCCGUCAAUUUCCAAAACUAAGUGACGGUUAACAUUUUAUUUUAUGAACUUACAAUUCUAAUUCCGGAAGAUCCGUAACUCGGAUUCCCAAUCCGUAAGUUCCAAUAAUCCUCAAAUAUUACGUAUUACAACGUAUCAAAGUUUGGUAACGAUCCAACGGUCGGAUCAUCAAUUCACAUUUUCACCUAAUGCGAAAACUAUAAAACGUUAUUCGAACACCUAACCAACAAUCCUUAAUAACUUUCUCAUACGGUGUUCAAUUUGGGUAUAUGAAUAUACCACAGUGAUCUACUCAUUAAAAUAAUUUUUUACUGUAGCACGCGCCCCCACGCGCCAAGGAAGGCACGGACCUACGCGCCCCCACGCGCACCUUCUUCUUCCUUGGGUCGCCGGACUGGUUUUUCCGGCGGCCGUUUUUCAAAUUGCCAUAACUUUGUCAUUUCUCAACGAAAUCAAGUGAUUCAAAAACGAAAGUUGUAGCCCUUGAAGAGACAAAGAGAAUGGUACCUUGCACAACACCUAGUUCGCCGUGGUUUGGCCGGAAACUGCUUCGAAAGCCUCGGAGGUCGCCAGAAACUGGGUAUUUUUCAAAUCAGUAUAACUUCUUCAAUACUCAACGAAAUUGAGUGAAACAAAAAGGAAAGUUGUAGUACUUGACGAGACGAAGAGAUUGAUACCUACCUCGACUCCUAACUCACCGGAUAUUCGCCGGAAAAUGCCUCGAAAGCUCCGGCCAAACUUUGAACUUGUCGAUCUCCGUGUUCUUACAUCCAAAAACUUCCAACGAAGCACUCCGAGCUUCCUUGGGACCUCACUAAGCUCGCUAUGAUCUUGUUUUAGCCUAAAACGUAGUCAUUUAGAAGAUCAUGAACAAUACCAUUUCACGGGAACUUUGAAACUAGGGUUUUCCGAAGCAAAACUUACCUGAAAUGGAUACCAUCGUGAUCGUGGAGGUUCCAGGAGUUUGAUGGUGGUCUUAACUCUGUCGUUGGUGGAAGUUUAAGGUUGUUUUGUGGUUGGUUUGUUCGAACGGAGAAGAAGAGUGACAGAGAGAGUGAGAGAGUCGUGAGGGAAGAGAGAGAGAGACAGCAUGCAGAAAAUAGGGAGAGGAUUGAGGGGUGUGGGGAUCCCACGUGGUCCUUUUCCAAUCCCCAACUCCAAACCAUAAAAUUUUAACCUAAAAAUCUAAGUUCAAUCCUUAAUAAAUUCCAUUUUAUUUUCAAAACUUAGGAACCUAGAUAAUUAUCAACUUGAGCUUCACAUACUUAGUAUUUCUUAAGGGCAAUUUCGUUCAUUCACAGCCACGAAUGUAAUAUUUUGGAACGGGCUGUGACAAUUAGUAUACAUAAAUGUAGAAUAUAUGUCCGUAUAUAUUUGAUCCAAUUAGUAUUAGGGAGAAUGACAAGUCAUCCAAGUCUGCUACUGUUAAUAAUUCUGUUACUGUAAAUUAACUGAUUGUAUUAGUUGUGAUUAGUUAAGAUAGUUAUAAAGUAGUUAGGGGUAUCUAUGUAAAUAGCCAAAGGCUAUAUAUAUUCCUACACAAUGUGUAAAGUUCUCAGUCAAGUAAAUACAAUCAAGAAAACUUACUGUUGAAGUUUUCUGUUUCUACAUGGUAUCACGCCAUUCCGCUUCACAGCUUCGAUCUUUCUCUUCGCUUGCUGCAUCGAUCGACUCUUGAUCGAUUUUUCUUCUCUGAUCUUCUCUUCGCUUGCUGCAUCGAUCGACUCAUGAUCGAUUUUUCUUCUCUGAUCGUCACUUCUUCCCUUCCGAUCUUGUAGUAUUUUCUUGAUUUCUGUCAGUAAUGGCGGCUCAAUCGACUGGUUCAUCUUCUCCGGUCAUCUCCCCCUCGAGCCCAAACCCUAAUUUUCUCUGGAAACCCUAAUUCCUCUGGAAAUCCGAGUCCUCUGACUUCCUACACUUCUCUCUCACAAUUCAUAACAUCGGCAGCAUGGUGCCGAUCAAGCUCAAAAGAUCCAAUUACCUACCAUGGCGCGCCCUGUUUGGCCCGAUUUUCCGGCGAUACAAGCUUCUUGGAGUAAUCGAUGGUACUGACGUCUGUCCAUCGCCAUUUCUGCCUGAUCGUAGCAUCAAUCCUGCUUUUGAGGACUGGUAUGAGAAAGAUCAAAAUCUUUUUGAUCUGGUUGAAUUCCACACUUUCUGAGGAAAUCAUCCCGUUCACGGUUGGGGUUUCAUCCUCUCGAGAACUUUGGGUAAAGCUUGAACAGCGCUUUGGUGGAAUUUCAGAGGCUCAUAUCCAUCAGUUGCGAUCGCGCCUUCAAUCUGUUCAGAAAGGAUCGCGUUCUAUCUCUGACUAUCUUCAAGAACUCAAGGAAAUUUCAGAUUCUCUGCAAGCUGCUGGUGCUUCUGUCUCUGAUCGAGAUCUUAUCGCCGCCACACUACAUGGCUUGCCUGAUGAAUUUGAGUCUUUCAUCGACUGUAUCAUGCUCCGAUUGUCCUCUACCUCUCUGAUGAACUUCAUGGCCUCCUUCUCACAAAGGAAUUGUCUAUGGCCAGACGCAAAACUGUCAGUUCAUCUCCUGUCCCUGAAUCUUUUCAGGCUUUCUCGGUGCAGUCUCAGCCUCAUCUCCUUCCUACUCCAUCUGCUUUUGCUGCUCAGAAUCUCCCUCUUCAAUCUGCAUCUCGGUUCAACUCUAAUCGUGGCAGGAACACUAAGGGCCAGUUCUUUUCCAAUCGAGGUCAUCGAGGUAAUCGUGGUAAUUUUCCUAAUAAACCGUGGCAAUCGAGGUUAUCAAGGAUUUCGCAGCAAUCAAGGCUCUUCUCACUUCAAAGUGCUUUGUCAAAUCUGUGGUUCUACCAGUCAUGAGGCUAUUGACUGCUUUGAUCGUAUGAAUCCUGACAUCUUGUGGUCGUAUUCCUCCAGCUAAGCUUGCUGCCAUGUGUGCCACAACAUUCUGCUAAACCAUCUCAGCCUUGGUUAAUUGAUUCAGGGGCAACCUCUCAUAUCACUAAUGAUGUUGCUAACCUCACCUCUCCUACUCCCUACACUGGCGAGGAUUAAAGUGUAUAUUGGAGAUGGUAAAGGUUUAUCCAUCCUCAAUGUUGGUUCAUCUACUCUGCACACCUCUCAUAAUUCUUUUCAAUUGCGAAAUGUUUUACAUGUUCCCCACAUAACCCAUAAUCUUAUCUGCUUAUCAGUUUUGUUAAUGAUAAUAAUUGUUCAUUGACACUUGACCCUUAUGGAUCCUAUGUCAAGGAUCGUAUUUCGGGGAAGAUGCUUUUACGGGGACCGGUUAGAGAUGGCUUCUAUCCUCUUCAAAGUUCCAGCAAUCUUCAUCCUCUUUCACAUACCGCUUUACUUAGUAUUAAAGCUCCAGUUACAAUUUGGCACAAGCGUUUGGGUCACCCUUCCUCCUCCAUUUUUAGAAGGCUCCUUUCAUCCAAUAAUCUUGCUUUACAAGGCAAGUCUACUGUGGACUUUUUCUGUUCGGAUUGUGCUCUUGCCAAGAAUCAUAAGCUUCCAUUUAAAGCUGCUACUUCAUCAUCAACUCACAGCCUUCAACUACUGCACUGUGAUCUGUGGGGACCUGCCUCAAUCACAUCAAGUAGUGGUUUUCAAUAUUAUUUGCUCAUUGUUGAUGACUAUAGCAAAUAUAGUUGGUUCUUUCCUUUGAAAUCUAAGUCAGAUGUAUUUUCUACAUUUGUUGUCUUCAAAUCAUAUGUAGAAAAUUCACUUGGAAAUAAAAUAAAGGUUCUGCGUUCAGAUUCAGGGGGUGAAUUUACUAGUCACUCUUUUGCAUCAUAUCUCAGCAAACAUGGCAUUCUUCAUCAGUUCAGUUGUCCCCACACCCCUGAGCAAAAUGGUUGUGCAGAAAGAAAGCACAGGCACCUUGUUGAAAACAGCUCGCACUUUGCUUCUUGCAUUCUCAUGUCCCUCAUAUUUUCUGGGUUGAAGCAUUCUCCACUGCUAUCUAUCUUAUUAAUCGCCUUCCUAUUUCUGGCAUUUCACAGUCCCCUUGGCAGUUGCUAUUUCACAACCAUCCAGACUACUCUAAGCUCAAAGUAUUUGGUUGCCAAUGCUUUCCUUGGCUCAAACCUUACUUUCAUAGCAAAUUGGAUCCCAAGAGCAAAAAGUGUGUUUUCUUGGGGUAUAGUCUUCAACACAAAGGCUAUAGGUGCCUUGAUCCUAUCACCAAUCGCAUCUACAUCUCUCGUCAUGUCUGUAUUCGAUGAAAGUACUUAUCCAUUUCAGUUGUCCCACAUUCAACACUCUUUUCCUGUUCCAAGUCCUCCAUCUUCCUCACCAACAAUUUCUUCCUCUCUGGAUCUUCAUUUUUUAGCAAACACAUUCCUCCUGUUUUCAGUCAGCCAUCUACAUCACCAUUAUGUGCUUCUGUGCCUGUUCCUAUUUCUUCAUCUUCAUCUUCCCCUGCACCUGUCUCAGUUGGCUCUUCUUUCCAGUUUUGUUCCUCCUUCAGCACAUUCAUCUUUCUCCCAAAAUCAACAGAGUCAUCCUCCUGCCCCUGUUAAUUCUCAUCCAAUGAUUACUAGAUCCAAGGCUGGUAUACUCACGUCGAGAGCCUGUGCAGCAACUAAGCACCCACUUCCGGUUGAUAUGGAUUAUGUUCCUACAACAUACUUGCAAGCUUCUAAGCAUGCUCAUUGGAGGCAAGCUAUGCAAGAUGAAUUUAAUGCCUUGCUAACCACUGGUUACUUUGGUCUCUUGUUCCUUCUCACCAUUCUCAAAACUUAGUGGGCUGCAAGUGGGUUUUCCGGAUUAAGAAGAAGCCCGAUGGCACUGUUGACAGAUAUAAAGCCCGGCUUGUGGCCAAGGGUUUUCAUCAACAAGAAGGUAUUGACUUUUCAAGAAAACCUUCAGUCCAGUUGCCAAACCGGUUACAAUUCGGAUCCUUCUUACCCUUUGCUGUGCAAUAUAAUUGGUUUCUCAAUCAAUUGGACAUUAGUAAUGCCUUUCUUCAUGGAGACUUAAAGAGAGGAUGUCUACAUGCAACAACCCCCUGGUUUUGUUGAUCCCUUUACCCUACAUUUUGUAAGUUGAGGAAAUCGUUGUAUGGUCUCAAACAAGCUCCUCGAGCUUGGUUUGAUAAACUGUUCCAAGCUCUUCCUCUCUUGGAUUCACCCAAUCAUCCUCAGAUGCUUCUUUAUUUGUUCUCAAUGGUCCUCAGUUUAGUCAUUGUCCUUGUCUAUGUUGAUGACAUUCUUGUCACCGGACCCUAUCCUUACCUCUGUCAACACUUCAUUCAGCAACUUGGGGCUCAAUUUCCAGUAAAAGACCUUGGUCCUCUUCAUUAUUUCUUGGGAUUAGAAGUACAUCGAUCUUCCCAGGGUAUAUUUCUCCAUCAAACAAAGUACUUAUUGGAUCUUCUCAAGAAAACAAAUAUGGAGGGUGCAAAACCUUGUUGUACUCCCCUUGGCUCUAAGAAAUUAGAUCACAGUGGCCCUCUUCUGUCCAAUCCUACUGAAUAUCGCUCCAUUGUUGGUGGUUUACAAUAUCUUACUUGGACUAGACCCGACCUUGCUUUUGCUGUGAACCAAAUCUGCCAAUUCAUGCAUGCUCCCAGGGAACAACAUCUCCAGGCAGCAAAAAGGGUUCUCAGAUUUCUCAAAGGCUCUAUCUCACAUGGUGUGUGGUUCACUAAAGGCCCUGUCCAUCUUUCUGCCUACUCGGAUGCCGACUGGGCUGGUUGCACAAUUGACAGGAGAUCAACCACUGGUUAUUGUGUAUUUUUGGGUUCCAAUCUUAUCAGCUGGAGUGCCAAGAAGCAAAGUACUGUUGCCAAGGUCCUCUACAGAGGCUGAAUAUCGCUCCUUAGCUCACACAGCUGCUGAGAUAACUUGGGUUUGCAGAUUCUCAAAGAUCUGCACUAUCCUCUCUCUUACAUUCCCUACUUUUGGUGUGACAACAUAUCAGCAAUAUCUUUAGCAUCUAAUCCUGUCUUUCAUGCUCGAACAAAGCAUGUUGAGAUCGAUUAUCNGAAGUUUUCUGUUUUCUACAUGGUAUCACGCCAUUCCGCUUCACAGCUUCGAUCUUUCUCUUCGCUUGCUGCAUCGAUCGACUCUUGAUCGAUUUUUCUUCUCUGAUCUUCUCUUCGCUUGCUGCAUCGAUCGACUCAUGAUCGAUUUUUCUUCUCUGAUCGUCACUUCUUCCCUUCCGAUCUUGUAGUAUUUCUUGAUUUCUGUCAGUAAUGGCGGCUCAAUCGACUGGUUCAUCUUCUCCGGUCAUCUCCCCCUCGAGCCCAAACCCUAAUUUCUCUGGAAACCCUAAUUCCUCUGGAAAUCCGAGUCCUCUGGACUUCCUACACUUCUCUCACAAUUCAUAACAUCGGCAGCAUGGUGCCGAUCAAGCUCAAAAGAUCCAAUUACCUACCAUGGCGCGGCCCUGUUUGGCCCGAUUUUCCGGCGAUACAAGCUUCUUGGAGUAAUCGAUGGUACUGACGUCUGUCCAUCGCCAUUUCUGCCUGAUCGUAGCAUCAAUCCUGCUUUUGAGGACUGGUAUGAGAAAGAUCAAAAUCUUUUGAUCUGGUUGAAUUCCACACUUUCUGAGGAAAUCAUCCCGUUCACGGUUGGGGUUUCAUCCUCUCGAGAACUUUGGGUAAAGCUUGAACACAGCGCUUUGGUGGAAUUUCAGAGGCUCAUAUCCAUCAGUUGCGAUCGCGCCUUCAAUCUGUUCAGAAAGGAUCGCGUUCUAUCUCUGACUAUCUUCAAGAACUCAAGGAAAUUUCAGAUUCUCUGCAAGCUGCUGGUGCUUCUGUCUCUGAUCGAGAUCUUAUCGCCGCCACACUACAUGGCUUGCCUGAUGAAUUUGAGUCUUUCAUCGACUGUAUCAUGCUCCGAUUGUCCUCUACCUCUCUUGAUGAACUUCAUGGCCUCCUUCUCACAAAGGAAUUGUCUAUGGCCAGACGCAAAAACUGUCAGUUCAUCUUCCUGUCCCUGAAUCUUUUCAGGCUUUCUCGGUGCAGUCUCAGCCUCAUCUCCUUCCUACUCCAUCUGCUUUUGCUGCUCAGAAUCUCCCUCUUCAAUCUGCAUCUCGGUUCAACUCUAAUCGUGGCAGGAACACUAAGGGCCAGUUCUUUUCCAAUCGAGGUCAUCGAGGUAAUCGUGGUAAUUUUCCUAAUAACCGUGGCAAUCGAGGUUAUCAAGGAUUUCGCAGCAAUCAAGGCUCUUCUCACUUCAAAGUGCUUUGUCAAAUCUGUGGUUCUACCAGUCAUGAGGCUAUUGACUGCUUUGAUCGUAUGAAUCCUGACAUCUGUGGUCGUAUUCCUCCAGCUAAGCUUGCUGCCAUGUGUGCACAACAUUCUGCUAAACCAUCUCAGCCUUGGUUAAUUGAUUCAGGGGCAACCUCUCAUAUCACUAAUGAUGUUGCUAACCUCACCUCUCCUACUCCCUACACUGGCGAGGAUAAAGUGUAUAUUGGAGAUGGUAAAGGUUUAUCCAUCCUCAAUGUUGGUUCAUCUACUCUGCACACCUCUCAUAAUUCUUUUCAAUUGCGAAAUGUUUUACAUGUUCCCCACAUAACCCAUAAUCUCUUAUCUGCUUAUCAGUUUGUUAAUGAUAAUAAUUGUUCAUUGACACUUGACCCUUAUGGAUCCUAUGUCAAGGAUCGUAUUUCGGGGAAGAUGCUUUUACGGGGACCGGUUAGAGAUGGCUUCUAUCCUCUUCAAAGUUCCAGCAAUCUUCAUCCUCUUUCACAUACCGCUUUACUUAGUAUUAAAGCUCCAGUUACAAUUUGGCACAAGCGUUUGGGUCACCCUUCCUCCUCCAUUUUUAGAAGGCUCCUUUCAUCCAAUAAUCUUGCUUUACAAGGCAAGUCUACUGUGGACUUUUUCUGUUCGGAUUGUGCUCUUGCCAAGAAUCAUAAGCUUCCAUUUAAAGCUGCUACUUCAUCAUCAACUCACAGCCUUCAACUACUGCACUGUGAUCUGUGGGGACCUGCCUCAAUCACAUCAAGUAGUGGUUUUCAAUAUUUAUUUGCUCAUUGUUGAUGACUAUAGCAAAUAUAGUUGGUUCUUUCCUUUGAAAUCUAAGUCAGAUGUAUUUUCUACAUUUGUUGUCUUCAAAUCAUAUGUAGAAAAUUCACUUGGAAAUAAAAUAAAGGUUCUGCGUUCAGAUUCAGGGGGUGAAUUUACUAGUCACUCUUUUGCAUCAUAUCUCAGCAAACAUGGCAUUCUUCAUCAGUUCAGUUGUCCCCACACCCCUGAGCAAAAUGGUUGUGCAGAAAGAAAGCACAGGCACCUUGUUGAAACAGCUCGCACUUUGCUUCUUGCAUCUCAUGUCCCUCAUAUUUUCUGGGUUGAAGCAUUCUCCACUGCUAUCUAUCUUAUUAAUCGCCUUCCUAUUUCUGGCAUUUCACAGUCCCCUUGGCAGUUGCUAUUUCACAACCAUCCAGACUACUCUAAGCUCAAAGUAUUUGGUUGCCAAUGCUUUCCUUGGCUCAAACCUUACUUUCAUAGCAAAUUGGAUCCCAAGAGCAAAAAGUGUGUUUUCUUGGGGUAUAGUCUUCAACACAAAGGCUAUAGGUGCCUUGAUCCUAUCACCAAUCGCAUCUACAUCUCUCGUCAUGUUGUAUUCGAUGAAAGUACUUAUCCAUUUCAGUUGUCCCACAUUCAACACUCUUUUCCUGUUCCAAGUCCUCCAUCUUCCUCACCAACAAUUUCUUCCUCUCUGGAUCUUCAUUUUAGCAAACACAUUCCUCCUGUUUUCAGUCAGCCAUCUACAUCACCAUUAUGUGCUUCUGUGCCUGUUCCUAUUUCUUCAUCUUCAUCUUCCCCUGCACCUGUCUCAGUUGGCUCUUCUUCCAGUUUUGUUCCUCCUUCAGCACAUUCAUCUUUCUCCCAAAAUCAACAGAGUCAUCCUCCUGCCCCUGUUAAUUCUCAUCCAAUGAUUACUAGAUCCAAGGCUGGUAUACUCACGUCGAGAGCCUGUGCAGCAACUAAGCACCCACUUCCGGUUGAUAUGGAUUAUGUUCCUACAACAUACUUUGCAAGCUUCUAAAGCAUGCUCAUUGGAGGCAAGCUAUGCAAGAUGAAUUUAAUGCCUUGCUAACCACUGGUUACUUGGUCUCUUGUUCCUUCUCACCAUUCUCAAAACUUAGUGGGCUGCAAGUGGGUUUUCCGGAUUAAGAAGAAGCCCGAUGGCACUGUUGACAGAUAUAAAGCCCGGCUUGUGGCCAAGGGUUUUCAUCAACAAGAAGGUAUUGACUUUCAAGAAAACCUUCAGUCCAGUUGCCAAACCGGUUACAAUUCGGAUCCUUCUUACCCUUGCUGUGCAAUAUAAUUGGUUUCUCAAUCAAUUGGACAUUAGUAAUGCCUUUCUUCAUGGAGACUUAAAGGAGGAUGUCUACAUGCAACAACCCCCUGGUUUUGUUGAUCCCUUACACCCUACAUCUGUUUGUAAGUUGAGGAAAUCGUUGUAUGGUCUCAAACAAGCUCCUCGAGCUUGGUUUGAUAAACUGUUCCAAGCUCUUCACUCUCUUGGAUUCACCCAAUCAUCCUCAGAUGCUUCUUUAUUUGUUCUCAAUGGUCCUCAGUUUAGUCAUUGUCCUUGUCUAUGUUGAUGACAUUCUUGUCACCGGACCCUAUCCUUACCUCUGUCAACACUUCAUUCAGCAACUUGGGGCUCAAUUUCCAGUAAAAGACCUUGGUCCUCUUCAUUAUUUCUUGGGAUUAGAAGUACAUCGAUCUUCCCAGGGUAUAUUUCUCCAUCAAACAAAGUACUUAUUGGAUCUUCUCAAGAAAACAAAUAUGGAGGGUGCAAAACCUUGUUGUACUCCCCUUGGCUCUAAGAAAUUAGAUCACAGUGGCCCUCUUCUGUCCAAUCCUACUGAAUAUCGCUCCAUUGUUGGUGGUUUACAAUAUCUUACUUGGACUAGACCCGACCUUUGCUUUUGCUGUGAACCAAAUCUGCCAAUUCAUGCAUGCUCCCAGGGAACAACAUCUCCAGGCAGCAAAAAGGGUUCUCAGAUUUCUCAAAGGCUCUAUCUCACAUGGUGUGUGGUUCACUAAAGGCCCUGUCCAUCUUUCUGCCUACUCGGAUGCCGACUGGGCUGGUUGCACAAUUGACAGGAGAUCAACCACUGGUUAUUGUGUAUUUUUGGGUUCCAAUCUUAUCAGCUGGAGUGCCAAGAAGCAAAGUACUGUUGCAAGGUCCUCUACAGAGGCUGAAUAUCGCUCCUUAGCUCACACAGCUGCUGAGAUAACUUGGGUUUGCAAGAUUCUCAAAGAUCUGCACUAUCCUCUCUCUACAUUCCCUACUCUUUGGUGUGACAACAUAUCAGCAAUAUCUUUAGCAUCUAAUCCUGUCUUUCAUGCUCGAACAAAGCAUGUUGAGAUCGAUUAUCACUAUAUUAGAGAAUUGGUUUUGGCUCAACUUCUCAAAGUCAAGUUCAUCUGCAGUGAAGACCAAUUAGCUGAUCUUCACACCAAGUCUCUGUCUAAAACCAGAUUUAAUUAUCUGUGUUCCAAGCUUCCCAUUGGUCUCAUUUCUGAUCCCCCUUCUCGCUUGAGGGGGUGUAUUAGGGAGAAUGACAAGUCAUCCAAGUCUGCUACUGUUAAUAAUUCUGUUACUGUAAAUUAACUGAUUGUAUUAGUUGUGAUUAGUUAAGAUAGUUAUAAAGUAGUUAGGGGUAUCUAUGUAAAUAGCCAAAGGCUAUAUAUAUUCCUACACAAUGUGUAAAGUUCUCAGUCAAGUAAAUACAAUCAAGAAAACUUACUGUUGAAGUUUUCUGUUUCUACAGGUUUUGGAUUGGAGGAGUUGACACAAAAUUAUAAAUAUAUUAAACAAAUUUAUCUAUUCUAAAGUUGGAGGGAAAUUGGCCUGUACAUUGCUACAGUAAUUUUUUUUUACCCAAUUUCACGUUAUUUACAACAAAGCUAUCAGAUUUGGGUUGGGUUGGAGGGUAAUUUGUUAAAAGUUAGGAGGGUAAUUUUGUGCAUAGGGUUUAGGUGCCCUCCUAUACAUGACCCUUGAUUUUACUUUAUUUACACCACUGCCAUCAAAUAUGUGGCUGAAUUGGAGGGUAUUAUUAAAAGUUAGGAGGGUAGUUUGUUCAAGGGGUGAGGGCGACAUUCGCAGACAGAGAGCGAUGGGAGCCAUGGCCAUUGCACAGAGAGAAAGGGAGUGAUGGGGGAAAUUACAGACAGAAAAGGAAGGGAUGGGGGGGAUUUGAUGGAUGGUCACAGAGAGAGAUUGGGUGAGGGAUGUGAGAGGAGAUUACAGAGAGAUAAAUAAAAGGGAGGGAUCGGGGGAUGUGAGGGAUGGUCAGGGAGAGAAAUAGUGAGGGAGGGAGGGAUGGGGGGGCUGAUUUUCGGUUCCUCCUUCCAGAUUUGUUCCGUAAAAACCUGUUGGGUAGAAUUCAAUUUCCUCCCCCUUUCCCCUGAACGAAAAAUUCGAAACCUACAACUCAAAACUCACUCAUUUGUCGUCCCUCCUUGGCUUUCCGCUUUACUCAUCUCCCGGUGGUUCUCUCUCCAUACGAUUCCAUUUCGGUGAGUUCUUCGUUGCCCUCAUGAUUUCCCACUUUUAUUUUUGGGGCGUCCUUAGUCGUCGUUUUUAUCUGGGUUUACUGCAUUGUUGCUUUUAGUUUCUGGAUUUUUAUUUUUUUGGCACUUGGAUGAAUCGUGGUUAAUAAUUUCACAUCAUGGGAUUUUCGCACUUCUGAUGGAAUUGAGCGCGGGGAUUCGGGGUGGGGUUUUACUGAUAAUUUGUCUUCAUUCAAACGAAGGGUUAAAAUUUAUGAGUAUUAACAAAUUUUGUAAAUUAUUCUUAUACAUUUUAUUGAGGGAUCUAAUCGAUUUCUUUCUGUAGUGGGAUUGAAAUUGGGGCUUUGUGGUACUCUCUCUCGCUCACUCUCUCUCCUAUGUGUAUGAAUUGAGUUCUGCAGUGAGUUUGCAGGUGGGCGCGUUCACUAACUAAGCUUUCAAGGGAACCGAUCAACGGUUUGCUUGCUGGGGGAAUUCGGAGACUACCAGUGUAUGAUUUAGUUAUCAUUAAUUUUUUUACUUAAUUUUAUCCAUAUAUAAUAUGUGGGUAAAUUUAGAGGUCGCACUUGGUGCGAUGGCAAGUUCCUUCGCCCAUGAGCGGUAGGUCUCGGGUUCGAGACUUGGGAGCAGCCUCUCCAUAAAUGGGGGUAAGGCUAGCCGACAUUUACCUCUCCCAGACCCUGCGUAAAGCGGGAGCCUUGUGCACUGGGUACGAUCUUUUAUAAUAUGUGGGUAAAUUUAUACUAAACAAUUGUGAUAAGCCAAUAUGCUAUACGACUUUGAAAGCAUUGAUUUUGUGUUUAGUUUGCAUUUUUGCAUUGUGAAUGUUGAAUUUUGUGUUUAAUUUGGAUUUUUGUGUUUGAAUUUGUAGCAUGAUCUUCCGCUGCAGCAUCCAAAUUUUGCAUUUGUAAAUUGUCAAAGAAAAACGAAGUAUGAGGAAAUUAUAGGAGAUUGUGUCGGCUUUGGCCAUGAAGGGUAUCAGCAGCUUGUUCCCCCAUACAGGUGAUUAAUCGCAGUCUGUUCUAUUUGGAUGAGAAAGUGAUUGAAAAAUAUGAUUUUUUAUUUGUUGGUUGAUUUUGUAUAACUCCGCCGUGUAAGUUUAUCUUACAUUGCCGGUCCCAAGCCCGGAUAAAGGAGGAGGGGGAGGGCGUCAGGUAGUCGACAGCUGGCACUCCAUGAUCACGUCGAAUCCUUAUGAAAAUGAAUCCAGAACGAAAUCGCGCUAAAGCUAGGGCGUCACCCAUAAGUGGCGCGCUGUGUGGCCCGAGCACAGUGAUAAGUGAGCAAGGGUCGUUGUAUCUCCAUCGGCACCCGGAUGCAGUGUUAAAUGAGCAAGGGGCUAUAGAAACUUCUUUUCGAACGACUCCACUCAAAGUUGUUUGGGAGCAUAUGCUCCUAUCAACUUUACACGGGACACACAAAAGAAGUACUUUGAUCCUAUUAGACGGGGAAGGGUGAAGAAGCUAGGACAGAAGGGUAGAGUUCAAGAGAGCAAAAUGCGUUUAGGAACGUGGAAUAUAGGAACCUUGAACGGGAAAAUCUAUGGAAGUAGUAGAAGUUAUGGUGAGGAGAAGGAUAAAUAUUAUGUGCCUACAAGAAACUAAGUGGGUUGGUCGUAAGGCAAAGGAUCUAGAAAACUCAGGGUUUAAACUAUGGUAUUCGGGCACAAAUAGAACGAGAAACGGUGUUGGCAUCAUCGUGGACAAGACCUUGACACAAGAUGUUGUAGAUGUCAAGAGGGUAGGAGAUAGAAUCAUGGCAAUCAAGAUUGUAAUAGGACAAGAACUUAUCAAUGUGAUUAGUGCGUACGCACCUCAAGUAGGGUUGGAUACGAGUUCGAAGGAGAAAUUUUGGGAAGACCUUGGAGACUUGGUGCAAGGAAUUGCUCAGACGGAGAAGUUAUUUAUAGGAGGAGAUUUAAAUGGACACGUGGGCAGGGAGACAGGCAACUAUGGAGGUUUUCAUGGUGGCCAUGGUUUUGGGGAGAGAAACGAGGAUGGGGAAGCUAUCUUGGAUUUUGCAAUGGCAUAUGAUCUCUUCUUAGCCAACACCUUCUUUAAGAAGAGAGAAGAACAUGUGAUCACCUACAAGAGUGGGUCGUCAAAAACACAAAUAGAUUUUCUUCUAAUGAGGAAAGGGGAUCGUAUAACUUGUAAGGAUUGCAAAGUUAUACCAGGAGAGAGCGUGGCUAAUCAACAUCGCUUGUUGGUGAUGGAUGUACAUAUCAAAAGAGUGAGAAAAAAGAACAAGACUUGGAAGUGCCCAAGGACUAGAUGGUGGAAUCUAAAAGAAGAAAAACAAGCCAUUUUCAAAGAGAAAGUAAUCACCCAGUGUGUGUGGGAUAGAGAGGGGGAAGCUAACCAAAUGUGGGAUUCCAUGGCUAGUUGUAUCCGAAAAGUAGCAAAAGAGGUAUUAGGAGAGUCCAAGGGCUUUGCCCCACACCAAAAGGAAUCUUGGUGGUGGAAUGAGGAGGUACAAACAAAGGUGAAGGCUAAGAAGGAAUGUUGUAAAGCCUUAUACAAGGAUAGGACCGAUGAAAAUGGUGAAAGGUAUAGAAAAGCGAAGCAAGAGGCGAAGAAAGCUGUGAGAGAAGCUAAGUUAGCGGCUUAUGACGAUAUGUAUAAGCGACUAGAUACCAAAGAAGGAGAGUUGGAUAUCUAUAAACUAGCUAGAGCAAGGGAAAAGAAGACAAGGGACCUAAACCAAGUGAGGUGCAUCAAGGAUGAGGAUGGAAAGGUUCUUGCUACAGAGAACGCGGUUAAAGACAGAUGGAAAGGUUAUUUUCAUAAUCUUUUCAAUGAAGGACAUGAAAGGAGUGCUUCUUUAGGGGAGUUGAGUAACUCAGAAGAGUGUAGAAACUACUCUUUUUAUCGUAGAAUCCGGAAGGAAGAAGUGGUUGUAGCUUUGAAGAAGAUGAAGCAUAGAAAAGCAGUAGGCCCAGACGAUAUACCAAUCGAAGUGUGGAAAGUUUUGGGAGAGACAGGUAUAACAUGGCUCACUGACCUUUUCAAUAGGAUUUUGAAAACGAAGAAGAUGCCAAAUGAGUGGCGAACGAGCACUUUGGUGCCUAUCUACAAGAAUAAGGGCGAUGUACAAAAUUGCAUGAACUAUAGGGGUAUUAAGCUAAUGAGUCAUACAAUGAAGCUCUGGGAGAGAGUCAUUGAGCAUAGAUUGAGGCAAGAGACACGGGUUUCGGACAACCAAUUCGGGUUCAUGCCAGGGCGCUCAACCAUGGAGGCAAUCUAUCUCUUACGAAGAUUGAUGGAAAGAUAUAGAGAUGGGAAAAAGGAUUUACACAUGGUCUUUAUAGAUUUGGAAAAAGCGUAUGAUAGGGUCCCAAGAGACAUUCUUUGGAGGAUUUUAGAGAAGAAAGGAGUACGAGUAGCAUAUAUCCAAGCUAUACAGGAUAUGUAUGAAGGAGCAAAGACUGCCGUAAGAACUCAUGAAGGACAAACCGAAAGCUUUCCCAUAACUGUAGGAUUACAUCAAGGCUCAUCCUUAAGUCCUUACCUUUUUGCGUUGGUAAUGGAUGAGUUAACAGGACAUAUUCAAGAUGAUAUUCCUUGGUGUAUGCUUUUCGCAGACGAUAUAGUGUUGAUAGAUGAAACUCAGGAAGGGGUAAAUGCAAAGCUUAACCUUUGGAGAGAAGUGUUGGAAUCUAAAGGUCUUCGCCUAAGCCGAUCAAAGACAGAAUAUAUGGAGUGCAAGUUCAGUGCAAAUGGAGGCCAAAACGAGUUAGGGGUGAGGAUCGGAGAUCAAGAAAAUACCAAAGAGCGACCGUUUUCGUUACCUAGGAUCUAUCUUGCAAAAGAACGGAGAAUUAGAUGGAGAUCUCAACCAUAGAAUACAAGCUGGAUGGAUGAAGUGGAAGAGUGCAUCCGGCGUGUUGUGUGACCGCCGUAUGCCACUGAAGCUCAAGGGAAAAUUUUAUAGGACGGCAAUAAGGCCGGCGAUGCUGUAUGGCACAGAAUGUUGGGCGGUGAAGCAUCAACACGUACACAAAAUGGGUGUAGCGGAGAUGAGGAUGCUUCGUUGGAUGUGUGGGCACACGAGAAAGGAUAAGAUUAGGAAUGAGGAUAUCCGGGGUAAAGUAGGAGUAGCCGAAAUUGAAGGAAAGAUGAGAGAAAAUCGGUUACGGUGGUUUGGACAUGUGCAAAGAAGGCCUACUGACGCUCCGAUUAGAAGAUGCGACUAUGGGACAGAGGUUCAGGGCCGAAGGGGUAGAGGAAGACCUAGGAAAACUUUGGAAGAGACCCUAAGAAAAGACUUAGAGUACUUGGAUCUAACGGAGGACAUGACACAGGACAGAACACAAUGGCGUUCUAAGAUUCAUAUAGCCGAUCCCACUCAGUGACUUGGAUUUUCCAAGUCUCCAACCGAGAAGUUUUCCUCACUCGGGAAAUUAAGGGAACACUACCUCAACCUACAUGCUCCACUCACAAAGCUUCAACAUACAAGCUUCAACAAAAGAAAAUUCAAAGAACUUAGCGAAGAAGGCUUUGGUGUAUUUAACACAAUACGUUGAAAUGAAGGAAAGCUUAUUUAUUGAUAUCCCCGAUAAGUUACAAAUAUGUACAUAUACUUGAGUCAAAAUAAACAAACAAGAGGGAGCCUUCACAAAGGUUGCUUAGGAGAAGUCUCAGCAGUCGGUAGAGCCCCAGAAAGAGAAGGCACCGGAGGGGGAUCAUUCGGAGCCUCAGUACUGGACAGAACCCUAGAAGGAGGAGGCAUCAGAGGUUGAUCAUUUGGAGCUUCAUUACGCGGUACAGCCCCAGAAGACGAAGGCAAUAAAUGCCUUUGGAACAAACCCACAAAUCUCUGAUGAUCAAGUAAAACCUGACCAUCAGAUUCCUUCAUCUGGUCAAGCUUCCUCUUCAUGUUUGUAGCAUAGUCAUGUGCGAGCCGGUGCAACUGUUUAUUCUCAUGCUUGAGCCCUCUAAUCUCCUGUUUGAGACUCAUCACUUCAGCCGCCAAUGAUUCAACUUGGCGGGUUCGAGCAAAUAGGCGUUGGGCCAUAUUAGACACAGAACCUGCACACUGAACACUGAGAGCCAGAGAAUCCUUAACAGCCAACUCAUCAGACCGUUUGGAAAGUAGUCUGUUAUCUUUGGGAGUGAGAAGGUUCCUGGCCACUACCGCAGCGGUCAUAUCAUUCUUCAUCACGGAAUCCCCAACGGUAAGAGGACCAGUAGGGGAGACGAAGGAUGGGCGCCAUAUGUUGUCUGGAGAAGGCGGGGCUGCCUCUUCAACAAGGUUCAAGUCAAAACGACGGUCGGAGGGGCCAGACAUUUUCAAAGGUGUUGAAGAGAGAAGAGGUCGGACAAAUCAAGAUCUUAGAAGUGCAAGAAUGGAGCUUCUACUGGUGGAUAUUCAAGUGUGCUUUGGAACUUAAUGUCAGCCCCUAUAAAAAUCUGCACUCGACGAAGCUUCAGAAAUCGAAGAGGCGCCUGCUCAGAAAUCGAAGAGGCGUUUGCUUUCUCAAAAGCUGGGCUGCUCAGAGACCACGAGGGUCGAUCUCAGAAAUCGAAGAGGCGUUUGCUUUCUCAAAAGCUGGGCUGCUCAAAGACCACGAAGGCCGAUCUCAGAAAUCGAAGAGGCUUGCUUUCUCAAAAGCUGGGCUGCUCAGAGACCACGAGGGCCGAUCUCAGAAAUCGAAGAGGCACCUACUUUUCCAGCCUUGUCAGCACCUGUCACACGCACACUCAGCUUUGCGGAAAUUAUGGGCAUUCUGUCGAAGAUUUCUGGCGAAGUAGAAAGCACAUGAAUCGUACUGUUCAAUCACCCACUUCCCACACGCAACAGUAGCUCAUGGGUACCACAGAUAACUUUGCCAAAGUUCUCUGACAAAGUUGAGACACGUGAAGCUUGCAGCUCCCACUACAUCGCUCUGACCAAGAAGGGUAAAAGAAUUAGCAAAGAAACAACACUAACAAAGUUUAGACACAUAAAUUUUGAAGGUCUAGCUACCAUAUUAUUACCCACAAGGGUAAAGGAACAGUACCACUGCUGGAUAAUUGGAAAGUCCCGGUGUGUCAACCUCUGUGCUUCGUGGCAAGGUAGACUAGCAAACAUGCCCAACCUUUACUCACAUUCGAGAAAACACUCCCAACAAGAUUGCUUGCUCCAAAAUCGAAGAGGCACCGCCCUCCGAAUCUCGAGAGCCAGACUCCCAACAUGAUUACUUUCUCAAAAAUCGAAGAGAGGGUAAAGGAACAGUACCACUGCUGGAUAAUUGGAAAGUCCCUGUGUGUCAACCUCUGUGCUUCGUGGCAAGGUAGACUAGCAAACAUGCCCAACCUUUACUCACAUUCGAGAAAACACUCCCAACAAGAUUGCUUGCUCCAAAAUCGAAGAGGCACCGCCCCUCCGAAUCUCGAGAGCCAGACUCCCAACAUGAUUACUUUCUCAAAAAUCGAAGAGAGGGUAAAGGAACAGUACCACUGCUGGAUAAUUGGAAAGUCCCUGUGUGUCAACCUCUGUGCUUCGUGGCAAGGUAGACUAGCAAACAUGCCCAACCUUUACUCACAUUCGAGAAAACACUCCCAACAAGAUUGCUUGCUCCAAAAUCGAAGAGGCACCGCCCUCCGAAUCUCGAGAGCCAGACUCCCAACAUGAUUACUUUCUCAAAAAAUCGAAGAGACACCGCUCUCCGAAUCUCGAGAGCCAGACCCCCAGCAGGAUUGCUUUCUCAAAAAUCGAAGAGGCAUCGUUCUCCGAAUCUCGAGAGCCAGAUCCCCGACAGGAUUGCUUGUUCGAAAACCGAAGAGGCACCACUUUCCCAACUUCAAGAGCUGGAUCUCCUUGGAUAAAGCUUGUCUGUAAUCUUCACACGCAACAUCAGCUUUCCAGAUACCACAGACCACUUUUUCAAAGUGCUCUGACAGAGUUAAAACAUGUGAAGCUGGCAGCUCCCACUACCGUGCUAUGACCAAGCAGGGUAAAGGAAUAGCAUUAUUACUUGAUGUUAGGGAGACUCCUAUAUAUGUCGACCUCCAUCCCCAACGGACAGGCAGACCUGCAAAAAUGCUCAACCCUUCCUCUUAUCUGAGAGGGCACUCCCAACGAAGCCUUUCGAAAUAUUCAGCUUUCUUUCCCCCCGAUAAUACCUCUGUAAACAAGCUAUACUAGAGCAAGAAUAUCUCAUAUCAUCAGGGUUAAAAGCAAGAGUAUCCCAUAUCAUGCUUUUUCCCUGUCUUUUCCUUUGGCCUUGUUCUUACCUGCAAGACAAGGAGAAAGAGAGCAAUCAGUCAGCACUUGGAAUCAAGCUUCCAGCCAGGAACUGACUGCCUGGAACCCCUUACCUGAUUACUUACCUGGCAUUGCUCUCGAGUACUCAUCUUCAACAUCUUAUGCUUCCAGGGAAGAUACCGCAUCUGCCUGAGGAACAGAUAGGGCAAGUGAGAAGGAUACAAGGAAGCAUGUGGAGACAAGCGUAACAGCACACGUGCCGAUACAUCCAUUACUCUGUCAAAAGCAAAAGUAUCCCAUAUCAGCAGGGUCGAACGUACUCUAGAUUUGAUGGACUUGUUUUGACCCUCAAAUUCUUCAGUCGGCCUUAUACUCUGGAGGAAACCAGAAAACCCUCCAGCCCAGUUCAAGAAUAAGCCUGUGGAAAGUUACUUCUUCAAAAGCAAAAGUAUCCCAUAUCAUCUCUUCUCAUUUUUCUUCUCUUUAUCCUUCAUGCUGCCUGCAAGAUAGGGAGAAUGUGAACAAUCAGCCGGAGCUCUGAUUGCUUACCUUGUCUGUCACCUCUUUCAGCAGAUCCCCUAGCUCGGCGACUUGGGGGACUCCUACUACAUGGUUUGUAUCGCGCUUGACCAAGCCUGAAACUACAAGUAAGCUUCAAGUGACAAUUGAUACAUUACCUUGUGCAUCUCCACCAGUUACAGAUACCACCCCUGGAUGGAGGAAGAGUACUUCCAGAGAAGAUGCCACAUCUACCUAUGAGACAGAUAAGGAAAGUCAAGACGAUACCACACUCCGGUACUUAGAAGUUUCGUGGUUACGAGAUCAUUCUCCCACAAUAUUUCCUAAUGUCAUUUGUACUAAAUCAUUCACUUGUACUCACUAAAGGAGAGCUUGAACCUAUGUACUUGUGUAAACCCUUCACAAUUAAUGAGAACUCCUCUAUUCCGUGGACGUAGCCAAUCUGGGUGAACCACGUACAUCUUGUGUUUGCUUUCCUAUCUCUAUCCAUUUAUAUACUUAUCCACACACUAAUGACCGGAGCAAUCUAGCGAAGAUCACAAAAAAGUGACCGUUUUCGCUACCUAGGAUCUAUCUUGCAAGAGAACGGAGAAUUAGAUGGAGAUCUCAACCAUAGAAUACAAGCUGGAUGGAUGAAGUGUAAGAGUGCAUCCGGCGUGUUGUGUGACCGUCGUAGGCCACUGAAGCUCAAGGGAAAAUUUUAUAGGACGGCAAUAAGGCCAGCGAUGUUGUAUGGCACAGAAUGUUGGGCGGUGAAGCAUCAACACGUACACAAAAUGGGUGUAGCGGAGAUGAGGAUGCUUCGUGGGAUGUAUGGGCACACGAGAAAUGAUAAGAUUGGGAAUGAGGAUAUCCGAGGUAAAGUAGGAGUAGCCAAAAUUGAAGGAAAUAUGAGAGAAAAUCGGUUCUGGUGGUUUGGACAUAUGCAAAGAAGGCCUACUGACGCUCCGGUUCGAAAAUGUGACUACUGGACAGAGGUUCAGGACCGAAGGGGUAGAGGAAGACCUAGAAAAACUUUGGAAGAGACCCUAAGAAAAGACUUGAGUACUUGGAUCUAACGGAGGACAUGACACAAAACCGAGCGCAAUGGCGUUCUAGGAUUCAUAUAGCCGACCCCACUUAGUGGGAAAAGGCUUUGUUGUUGUUGUUGUUGGUUGAUUUUGUAUGGACGAUGUAUUAAUUUUUUUUUUUUUUUGGGAUUUUGUGUAUUGGGUAUUGUGUAGAACCAGCAAUGCAGGAUCUGAUCAGUCACGCCCGAAAAGGGGUUUGUUUCUCAAAUCACAUUAAUUAAUUAGAUUAUUAAUGUGCGUUGGAAGGCUCUUCAAUAUGAUUUCUAAUUUCUCCUUUCCAGCAUUCUCUUUUUGGUUUUUGGAGUAUGUAUGUGAUUUGUAUUUGAUUAUAGAAUAAAAAUUAAUAAAACACGAGAUGCAGCAAUUAAUUUGCAUCCUUAUGACAACACAUAUAUGAAAGUGCAUUCAAUUUCAAUGUGCGAAUGUGUGACAGGACAGGAUGUGCCUGCCUGCUGGUGGUGGUAUGCUUGCUGUUGUUUCUUGCGUUGUUAAUUUUUUGUGUGUUGAUUUGAUUAACAAUUCAAGCGUAUCUUAUUUUUUUUGUGUUGGUUAGCAGCCAGUUUUAUGGCCCCGAUCUAGUGAUGCUUCUCAGUGACUGGUAAUUGCAGUUCAUUGCCACCAGUUGGUCAGCUACCUGCUCUGAAAGAGCUCUACGUAGAAGGGAUGAAAGUUGUUAAGAGUGUUGGUGUUGAGUUGUACGGGGGAAAUCAACCAUUUCAAUGUUUAGAGAAGGUAAAGUUUCGGGAGAUGCCAGAGUGGGAGGAAUGGCAGCCUAGUCCAAGUGGAUGUGAAAGUCCAGACUUUCCUCAUCUUAAGGAGCUGAGGUUAUCCGAAUGUCCGAAGCUGAGAGGAAACUUGCCCACUCAUCUUCCCUCCUUGAAAACACUUUAUGUGAACAAGUGUGAGGUUCUACAUAAAAACAGGGCCAGUAAUACCCUGAACGUGGAAUCCUUACGAGGAUCUCUUGAAAAACUGACAAUAAAUGGAUGCCCGGGUCUCUCAUUGUUACUAGAGUCGAUGGAGACGCUGCCGUCGCUUCAGAAGCUUGAUAUUGAUAGUGUUGGUGGGAAAGAGUUGUUGGUGCAAAUGGUGCACAACAGCAAUCGUCUUCAAAGUUUUGACUUUAUAUAAAUGUUCCUCACCCUUGUCGUUCCCUACAAAUGGUCUGCCCACCACGCUGACGUCACCGAGCAUAACAGAUUGCAAGAAAUUAGAAUUCCUAUCACGUGAGAUGAUGGCCAAAUUGACUUCCCUUCAGUCUUUGCGUCUAUCCAACAGCUGUGAAUGCAAAGGCUUGAGUAAUUUUUGUGAGUCUGCUGUUUGGUUUUUUUUUCUUCAUUUUAGAGAUUUUUCUACUGUUUGGUUUUUGGGUUUUGUCUAAUUUUUGUGGUCUGCUUUAUAGAUUGUUCUCUUUGGAAGCUUCUUUCCAGCCUUGACCUUCUUCUUGCCUGGUGCCUUCUCAUUGAGUAUUGGAGGAGCAUUAAAACACAGGUGUGUGUGUUUUGUCGAUGUAAGAGAUGAACGACAUAAAAACAUCCGUCUUUGUAUUUUUUUGUGCUUUUUCUAACCCAUCAAUUUCUUUUGAGUCAACCAAAUAGUCCCAAAUUGCAACUUAUGUUGUGAGGUAUUAUUGUCUAAAAUUAAGUAUGCAUGUAUAUUUUAUGUUUGUGCGCGCGCACACCUCCGCAUGGUGUUAAUCUCUGUGGGUCAUCUAUGUAUAUGUAGACAUAUCUAUAUGUGUAUGUGUGGAAUGCAACAUAUCGGAUUUAGGUUAUACUGUGCAUAGUUUUAUUGCCUGUUAUUAUCUACGAUAUCACUAUGCCAUUUCUAUGCAGGCUCUGAAAGUUAUCCAUGAGCUUUAUAAGCACUUACCAUAAUUUAAGCAGUCUGUUUUGGGUUCUUUUUCAUUAGGUCAUUAGCUACAGAUUAAUGGAGAAACGAGGACCAUGCAACUGAUUUGGGUUCUUUUUCUAAUUUUCUGAUUUUGGGGUUUUGCAGGGAGUACUGAUGUACUGAUUUUCUGGGAUUUUUUUUGUCCUUGCAGGAUUUUUGGUCUUUGGAAUGGGUAUGUGUUGUUUUUAACGUUUCAGUUCUAGCUUGUUCCGUUCUUCGUUGCUUCGUGAUUCUCAUUUUUUAGUGUUGGGUGAUGGAAAUUUGUUCAAGUAGUUGGUAGUUUUUUUAGAAAGUUGGCAUUUUUAGUUAUAUUUUCUGUUUAAUCCUAAAUGUUAGACUGGAAAAUCAUUGAAAUGACGGUUUUUUAAAAACUCAUAAUUUUUUUGUUCUGGGAGUUAAAAGCAUCUUUUCCAGAUUGGUUAUAAGGGUUAUGUUCUCUUCAAUUGGUUCACCUAAUUUUGAUUAGUUUUAAGUUUUGUCCUUUUAAGUUUUGUCUUUUAAGUUUUGUUCUUUAAGUUGUCUUUUAAGUUUGUUCUCUAAGUUUUGUCUUUUAAGUUUUAUCUUCUGUGCUGUAAUGAGAGAUUUCUGUUGGCCUUUCGGAUUUUGGCAUGGGAAAGUUCACUUAUUUGUCUAAUUAGAUUGUGUAUGCCUUCGAUUCUUUAUUUAAUUGUUCUGUUUGUGUUCAGGUGUGAUGAUCUAAAUUUCAUAUGUUUGGAAUUAUUCACUUAACACCAAUUUGUUACAUUCAGAUCUCCACCCCACAUUUCACUAGUUCAAAUUCCAUAGAAGUCGGUUACUGCAGAUUGCGUCUACAAUUAGAUCAGAGAUCAACUGCUCUUUUGUUAUCCUGCAGAAGAUUGCUUUUGGGAAGGAUCUGAAGUAGUUUCUUUCUGUAAGUUUAUUCCCAUGUAGCUCUGUCUUUUCUAAUUGAUGGUGUUGAUAUUACACUGUAAUUCAUGAUGAUGAUUUAAUUGUUUAUUGAUUUGUAAUUGUUUGUGAAUAAUGUGGCAUAUAUGACUUGCAAUAUGUGUUUGUAUGAAAGGGAUGACAUAUUAUGUUGCUGACUUAAUUGUUUAUGUUUUUCAUAUUUGCGAAUGGUGUUAUGAUCAAUUAGGUGAUUGCUGACCUGUGACUUUGUUUGGAGCUCAAAUUUUGUGAGCAUUACAUUGGAUUGUUUUGAUGUUGUUUUGGUUGACAAUGCAGGGAUAGGAGAAACAAAGAGGAUGACACUUAUAACUGCCCUUCCCCAUCGGCCGUCUUCAAAUUUGGAUCACAAGAAGGGAGCAACAUAGGUGUUUUCCUUCUUCAUUUAGAUAUGGUUAGUGUAAAUAAUUGGACAAAAGAGCCAAACAAACCCUGUUCUCUCAAAUGGAGUCGAUGAUGUGGUCGAUGGCCACCAGCCCCAACUCAAGAGUUUGGCCUUCAUAUAAUUGGAUUGUAGUAUAAUUUUAUUUUGGUUCAUUUCUUUUUUCCUUUAUAUAAGUGCAGGUGUUGUGAUGUUUUGAAUAAAGGGUGAUGAAAGGUGGUUCACACACUUCCUCCUUACUUAAAGCAAGUGGAGAUGAUGGGUUGUAUAAAAAGAAAAACUUGCCAGGUACUUCGAUUUUCUAUUUUAUUAAUUAUUGUUUGGUUUUCCAAAUGUUGUAUUCACAAAGAGAGACCAAUGAUGUCUUUGAGAAACAAGUUUCUUUGUCUACAUUGCGAGAAUUUGCAGUUUGCAACUUUCAUUGGUUAUUAUAUUUGAUUGAGUUAAACUUGGAUUUCUGGAUUUUGACUUUUUCGUUUGUUUCUUUGUUGUAGAGUUGGCUUCAUUUCAUUCCAGUAACUCUAUUCCAGUAACUCUCUAAAAUAGGGCCAAGAACUCACUAAAUAGGUAGUCAAGAGGAAUUCAGUUUUGCCUUCAAUUUUUGCCUUCUGUUUACAUUCUUCCUGGAUGCACUCUCACCGCUUCUCUCGCUUACCACUUUUGUCUCACUCACCGCUUCAUCUCUUCUGUUGCUUACAAGGUCGUGUCAUAUAUUUUUUUAAUUUUUGUGUGUUUAAUUUAUUGAAUAUUUGAAAAAAGAGAUAAAAUUUUCAAUUUACAAUUACUGAUAUGAUGUUUGUUUUGAAAAUCAUUAAGGUGAAUGGAGAGAUUUACAACCAUGAAGAGCUGAGGAGCCGUUUGCCAAAUCAGAUUUAUAAGGUCUCAUCAAUUAUAAAUAAACGACUUUUCAUUCCCAAUGACCUUUAUCGUUUUUCUUAAUGGGUUAGCUGAACAUGAGGUAGAUGCUGACUUUAUAAAAUAUGAGAAUGUUUUAGGAUUUCAUUCUAAUUUUUUGGCUGUUUGAUUACUUUGCUUUUCGUAAUUUGUUUUGCUUAUCGUCAAUUGGAUGGGACAACAUAUUUUUGUAACCAGUUUGUACUUUUUUUUUUUGUGGAAACUAACCAGUAUGUACUUUUACCAUCUCGGUUUUGAUGGAAUUGGAGCUUUCAGUAAUGGGUUCUGAGGGAAUUGGAGUUUUGAGUAAUGGGUUUUUUAACAACUAUAGUAUCAUUUGUGAUUCUUUUAUUUAUAAGAUAUUAUAUAGGAAACUGUUAUUAGCACUCUAAUAAUCUUAUUCUACACUCGCGACAAGUGUAUUUUUCUUUCUAAUUAUGGAAAGUUUGGAGUGCAAAAUGAGAAUUUUGGAGUGCCAAUAACAAUUCCCUAUUAUAUAUAGCUCUACUAAGAAGGCGACUGUAUAUGUCUUCAUCCUGUUAAAUUGUAUAUGGCUCUUGAUGUCGGCUGAAUUAAAUCAAAAUGAAAACCAAGCUGCUGAUCUUACCAGCCCAUAUCACUUAUCACUUAUUUAAAUUAUUUGAAGAUGCAUACGUGGAUUGGUGAUUUUGUUGGAUUCACUUAGCUCAAAUAUAUGUUAUCUGAGUCGCUACAUUUGAGAAUGUGAUUCUGUUCCUACCACCAUUUUGCCCACUUUUUGUGGAAAUUAUUCAUUCCUGUUGUGAAUAAUAUCCCCGGCAGCGAAGUGCGGGCGCAUUUUCUAGUUUAAGUUAAAUCACACAAUGGGUCAUCAAUAAUGACAAACUCGUCAUUUAUGCGAGUCAAACAUGAGACCACCUACCUACUAGUUUAGUGGAAUACCACAAGUGACAUGUUGAUACCUUUAAAUCUCAUAUAAUGGAUUGCAGAAUUAGGAUAUACCUAGUCUAAUUUAGUCAGUGCGUGAACCCGAACAAUUAACCAGGGUUUUAUUCUUGCUUGAAUGUUUGUAAUAUGUUCCUAGUUUGACAAGGCAAUUAUAUUUCCGACUACAAAAGUUAUUAAUUUAGUCGAGAAUUGACGCACCUGAAAUGGUGUGAGGAAAACAUGUAGACACAUCAGACGCGGUCCAUCCUGAGCAUUGUGUAUUAAGGAUAAAGCUCAAAGCCAUACAUGAGGGCAUUGUGUAUGUCUUUAUAAGAGAAGUUGCUGUAGUCCUCAACGUGGCCGGCAGCCAAACUCAUCCACUCUACACUGCAACCCUCAUCCAAAUCCCAUGCUUCCAACCUGCCCCCGACAUAGUCAUCGACCAUGACAUAGCUAUACGUUUUUGGUUGACUCGAAGAAGAAGAAGAAGAAGAAGUAUUAUUCAAGCAUGGAGCAGUGUCCACGUACAGAGAAGAAUUCGAUGGAUUCGAACACUUCAAGUAAUAUAUAGAUAGAGAAUUGAUGUCAUAGGUGGGCCAAUAUAGAGAAUCGAUGUCCUCGAUGGGCGGAAUAUUUUGAGACAUGGAAGAGCAAUUGUUGUUGUCAAGCCCAGGAUCUAGAAGUCGGAUUGUUUUGUUAAUGUAGUUGAUUGCCUGGACAUAGUAUUUUCCGGAAGAAGGUAGGUCUAGUACUGUAAUGUUGCUCUCACAGGACAGAGUAAACCUUACGUCGCCACAGUACUUUGGAUCAUCGUUCAGUCGAAAAGGAUGGCUUAUGUUGUGGAUAUGGCCGCAGGAUGAAGUGCAGGACUUGGCACUACUGUUGUCAGCGUUACAAGUUUCACUGCAAAAGCAAAGAAGAAGAAAGGCUAAACUUAAGGUGAAGGACCUGGUUCCACUGAUUUCCAUUGCUCUGAGAGAGAGAGAGAGAGAGAGAGGGCACUAUAGCUUAAACACCAAGGAGUUAUAUAAUAUGGGAGGGGUUAAAGCACCUCGCUUAAAGUUGCAGUAAGCCCGUCAAAUAUCCUAGGGAAAAGUCGGUCAAUGCUGUCCUAUAGAGAAAAGUCGGCCUUGAUGUUUGACACGGUCACACUCUCUCUCUCUCUCUCUCUCUCUCUCAUUGACGAGGGACACUGUAAUUGAAAAAAAAAAUUGUUAUUCAGAGAUAGAUCUUGAAAUUCUUAUUUUAUAUAAAAAAAAGGGGUAUUUAGAUUUUAGGACCUAUAUAAGAUAAUUUUUAGAUUAUAAGGUUUCAAAAUCUUAUUUUAGUCCCUAAUUUAAUAUUCAUCGCCACAUCAUAUUAUAAGAUACCUCUAUUACCUACCAUAUUUACAAACUUUGCCAUUUAAAUUGUCAACCUAUUCUAUAAUUAAGGCUUAAAUAUAUUCCGUUAAUAAACCAUUCGUCAAUAAGAUAAAUCCAACUAUGGUAAAUUAUACUAAUUUAUACUUGCUGACAAACAAAUUAAGUCUAUAGUAAUUUUAGGUCAGUCACCUUAAGAAGUCGAAGAUGAAAAAAUCAAAUACAAAACAAUAGGUUAAAAAAAUUAAAUAAUAACCCUUAAUAUAUAUAUAUAUAUAUAUAUAUAUAUAUAUCACAAAAAAAAAGUAUAACAACUCCUUAUUGUCUAUAUAUAGGAAUUGCAUAAGUGUCGGUACAUAUGUGUAGGUACAUACAUGCACAUAGGUACGGAAGUAUCGGUAUGGAAGUGCCGGUACAUACGUACACAUAGGUACGAAAAUAUUGAUACGUUAGCAUCGGUACAAAAGUAUCGGUGCGGAAGUGUCGAUACUUAUGUACAUAUAUAUAGGUACGCAAAUAUUGAUACAUAAACAUCAAAAGAAAAAAUCGGUAGAUUCGAUGUAUGAGAAGGUAAAAAUAAAUCAUCAACACUAGAAAAAAAUGAUAAAAGUAAAUCAUGCACUAUUAGAUGCAUAAGAAGAAGAAAUAUUAGAUGUGGAUGGUGGCCCUAGCCCUCUCUUCUAACACGGUUGAAGAUAAUUUUUUGGGUUGGACAAAAAGUUUCAUUUUUAAGGAGAACCAUUUAUGUUAGCAAUAAAACUGAAAAGUUAUAAAUAAAAUAAAUAUAAGACAUUAUAAUUCACUCAAGGAUAAUAUAGGAAGAAAAAAAUUACAUAAAAGGAAUUAACUCUGACAUUAAAUAUAAAUGCUGACUUGGACAUAAGUCAAAGGACUAUAAUUAGUUUUUUAUCUUGGUUAAGGUUUUAGUCUAAAGAUAAUCUUUUUCAAGGAUUAAUAUCUAGUUUCCUAUAAAAAAAAACACCUAAUAUUAAUCAUUCAAAUGAAAUUGUUAAAAUUAAGUAUAAAUAAUACAUAAUGAAAACUGAACACAUACAAUCAACGGUCACGACCAUGAAAUCCUCCGGAUCCUCAGAAAAAAAUCCGACGAUGAUCUUUUUCUGUGUAAAAUAAUUUGAGGGUAUAAUACUGGAUGUGCGAUUAAACCGAAGAACCCACCCACCUCCAUCUUCUCUGACCAACUUGAACCCAGCCACUACUACAUGUCAUCCCGACAACCCACUCUCAGCUUCCCAAACCGCCAUUUUUCACCCAAUGGAACAUUUAAAGAAAAAAUCCAUCUGCAAAUCGAAAACCACCGAAAAAAAUUAAAUCAGAUACAUUGGAAAAAACGCAAAACUCAAUGGAACAACACUGGCGUGGAAGAGAAAAAAAGCAGAAGGUGAGAAUGGAGAGAAAGAAGCGAACGGAAAGAAAAAGCAAAGAAGAGGUUGGAAACGGAACAACAGAAGAACAAUAGAAGAACAGAAAUGGGUAUGGGAAACGGAACAACAGAACAAAAAGCAGGCGGUGUAUAGAGCAAGAAAAGCAAACCUCACGAUGACCAACACGUGCUAAGAGAGGCCCCGGUUCACUGUGUAUCACAUUUUUUAAUAUUUUUUUUGGUCUUCCCACCGGCUAUACAUGGGAUUCCAAAAUUAAGAAGGUAUAAAUUUUUAUUGUUUCUUGUGCCACAAACCAUGUGGCCCAGUCUUAAUCACAUUUUUUAAAUAUUUUUUUUGCUCUUCCCAUCAGCAGUACAUGGGUUAAAAAAAUUAGGAAAGUAUAAAUUUUUAUUGUUUGUUGUGUCACAAACCACGUUGCCCGGUUUUAAUCACAUUUUUUUAAUAUUUUUUUGUCUGCCCACCAGCUAGGUUUAAAGAAUUAAAAAAGGACUAAAAGAAAGACUCCACAGAUGGAGGAACAUGGGAAUAGAAAGGGCAAAUUUGGGAUUUUACUGUACAAAAAAGACAAAAAGUAACUGCUGAAGACUAACUUGAGGGGCAUUUUGGUCUGCACACUGCCCUAGAACAGUAACCAUCGGAUUGGGUUUUAGUAUAUAUAGAAUAUGUUUAGAUAAGGACAAUAAACUUAGAAUUUUGCCAAAAGUCAGAAUUUAUAAAUUGAUACAAUCAAUUCAUUUGUUUGGAUUCAUAAACAUAGAAAUUUAGACUUUCCGCGUGAGAAAAAACUUGGAAUUUGGGACCUUCAAUUCUCAUGUUUAAAUUUCAUGUAAAUAGGUGUCAUUUAUAAAUUUCAGUAAGUGAGAGUUUAAAAAUAACAAACAUGUAUUCAAAUUUCAUUCCUCCUUUGGUUAACCAAAAAAGAAAAUUUAUAAAUUCUAGAAAAUAAAAUUUCUUUAUUUUAAUUUCUGUUAUUUUAAAAUUCUUAGGGCUUGUUUGGUAUUCUACUUGAAUCCAACUUUUUAAACUAAAAAAUAAUUUUCAAGUUUUAGGCCUUAAAAACUUAUUUGGUAGAACUAUUUAAAAAAACUGAACUUAAGACUAACUAAAAAAUAUAAUAUAUUAUCUAAAAACACAAAAAAUGAGUUUUUAGAAUUUUUAAACUUAAAUUCACUCAUUUCUUUUCUCUCCCUCCUCCCCUCUCACUCCAAAUCUCUCUCUCUCUCUCUCUUUUCUUCUUUCUCUCUCCCCUUCUCUUUUUUUUAACCUUUUUUUGUCUCUCAUCUAAUCCGCUCUCUUCAUUUUCUCGGUUCUUUCUCUCACUCAUAUUCCUCUCUAUCUCCUCCAAUUCUCUCUCUUCAUUCUUUUUCAACCAAUAAUUUCUUACUUUUUUCCUCUUCUCUCCUCUUGAUUCUCUCUCUUCAUUCUUUUUCAACCAAUCAUUUUUUACUUUUUUUCCUUCUCUCCUCUUUCUCCCUCGACUUCCUCUUUUUGGAUCUCUUUGUUCAGUUUGAGCUGUAAGAUUUAAAAUUAUUUUAAAUCGUAUACCAAACAAGUUUUUGAGUCUUAAAGAAAAUUGUUUUUCAAAAAAUGUUCUUAAGAAAUGUUUUGAGAAAUGAUAAAAAAUUUCAAAUAAGAUACCAAACAAGCCCUUAAUAAUCUUAAAUUUUCCCAUCCAAACAAAAAAUUUUCUUGUCAUAGAACUUUCAAUUGGAAUCAAAGAAGACAAUCUUUUCACAACUAAUUAUUCUCACCAAAAGCAAUUUUUAUUUUAAAGCAAUCAAUACCAAACUGCAAAAGCAAAGUAGGAAGGCUAAAAUUAAGGUGAAGAACCUGCUUCCACUAAUUUCCUUAGGAGGGAGAGAGAGAGGGGGAGAGAGAACCAAGCGAGCGAGCAGAGAGAGAAAACACCAAGUAGUAUUCUAAUGUUGGUGGGGUUAAGUCACCUUCCGUGAAGUUGCAGUAAGGACUUCUAUCCCAGAGAAAAGUCAGUAAAUGAUGUUGACACAGUCAACGACAAAGACAGAAUUGUGUAACCAUAAUUCUCUCUCUAUCUCUUUUUCAUUAUCGGAUGACAGUGUAACACUACUACGUAUAUAUCUCUGCUCAAUUAUUGAAAAGAAAAAUCCAUGUGCAUUAUUUUUAUUAUUAUUAUCUCAGAAAUGCAGAAAUUGAUCAUCUCUUCCUUUUGCAUAUUGAUACUGGUUUUCUUCAAACUAGUUGAAGCAAGUCAAUAUGUGUGCGCGAAAUCCAACUGUAGCAAUGAUCAAAGCGGGGCUAUCCAUUUCCCAUUAAACAUCAGGCGCACACAUCAUUGUGGUAAUUCUGGGCUUGAAUGCAAUGGGAGAUAUGAACAGCAAAUACUAAUAAAAUUAUUUGUCAAAGACAUAGAUUACAAGCGUCAGGAAAUCCAAGUCUAUUCCCCAAGUAACUGCCUGCUGCUAAAGCAUGUUGAAAUCCCAAACAUGCCACCCUCUCCCUUCAACGUGUCAGUCGAUGACUACAUGAGUAACCUUACCUUAUUCAGUUGUCCUACUUCUUUUGCAAGACGAGAUACGGAUGUGUAUCAAGUCCCCUGCCUCGGCGACCGUGGCAAGAGAACUUAUGCCAUUUAUUCUGAUUAUGGUUUUAGAACUCUCUUCCGGAAUCUACAAUCUUGUACAAAAAUGUAUGAUGUUUUAUCAGUUCCAAUACCCUCUGAAUAUUAUGUUCUUCGUUUCAAAUGGUCUAUACCAAAUUGCAGAAAAUGUGGAGAGGGAAAGAGGUGUGAAUGGCAGAACAAUGAAAUUAAAUGUAUUCAAUGGAGGAAACCAAGUAAGGAUAACAUAUGUAUUCAUUGCUAGUUUUAAACAUCUUUACAUUUGUUUCUCAGUAAUUAUUGUUUAAAACAUGUCCAAUCCAUUUUUACUAUGAAUAUUAACUGACAGUCUCAUUUGAAUUUGCCUUUAUCUUUUACAGGCAACACAUGGAAAUUAGUGGUCACAGGGGGAAUCCUGGGUUCUUUGCUUCUUGUUCUACUGAUGAUUGCAGCAUAUCGGGUAUAUAGCGUUGAUAGAAAGAAAAAAGAGAUUCGAUUACGAAUUGAAAGAUUCUUGGAGGAUUACAAAGCACUCAAACCAAGCAGAUACUCGUACGCAGAUAUUAAGAGGAUUACAAAUCAAUUCAAGGACAAGUUGGGCAAAGGAGCCUAUGGAACUGUCUUCAAAGGAAUGCUCUCUUCUGAAUUCUUUAUUGCUGUCAAAGUCCUCAACAGUUCCAAGGGAGAUGGGGAAGAGUUCGUAAAUGAAGUGCGAACGAUGGGUCAUAUCCACCACGUAAACGUGGCUCGCUUGGUUGGAUUUUGUGCUGAUGGAUUUGUACAAGCUCUUGUUUACGAGUUCUUCCCCAUUGGUUCCCUGCAGGAUUUCAUUUCAUCUGCAGAUAGUAAGAAUUCAUUUCUUGGUUGGGAUAAGCUGCAAGAUAUUGCCCUAGGCAUAGCCAAAGGAAUUGAAUAUCUUCACCAGGGAUGCGAUCUACGAAUCCUGCAUUUCGACAUCAAACCCCAUAAUGUUUUGCUAGACCAAAACUUCACUCCAAAAAUUUCUGAUUUUGGUAUGGCCAAGUUAUGUUCCAAGGAUCAAAGCUUGGUGUCCAUGACUACAGCUAGGGGGACCAUGGGCUACAUUGCACCUGAAGUGUUCUCCAGGAAUUUCGGAAAUGUGUCUUACAAGGCAGAUGUCUAUAGCUUUGGAAUGCUGCUGCUUGAGAUGGUAGGAGGAAGGAAGAAUAUUGGUUCAAUCACGGAUAACACUACAAAUGAAAUUUACUAUCCACAGUGGAUUUAUAAUCUUCUAGGGGAAGGGGAUGACCUACGAAUCCACAUUGGGGAAGAAGGAGACGGUAAAAUUUCAAAGAAACUUGCAAUUAUAGGGCUAUGGUGUAUCCAGUGGCACCCGUCGGAUCGUCCUUCCAUGAAAAUAGCGGUUCAGAUGUUAGAAGGAGGAGGAGAAAGCUUGAGUAUGCCGCCUAAUCCCUUUGUGCCUACUGGUUCUACAACUAGGAAUGCAAGACGCCUAGAGCUAGAAGCUAUUGCUGAAUUAGAGUAAAAUGUAUAUGCAGAUAUAUAGACGUAUAGAUAUAGUAAUAUUUACAUUGAAUAAGAUACCGUUUGAUAACCAUUUCGUUUUCAGCUUUUAAUUUUUAUUUUUCACUUUUUUGAAAACUGAAAACUAAAAUCUUGUUUGGUAAAUACUUUUAGUUAAAAAAAAAUGAAGACUGAGAACUAAAAAGUGAAAGCUCAAAGGAAGUAGAUUAAAAGUAGUUACCAAACAAACCGGAAUCUCAAUAAUAAAAAAGAUUGAAUUGCACAAUGCAAUCCAAACCAAUCAAAACAUUAAAAUAGCAAAAAAAUUAAAAUUCUAGUUGAUUAGAUUCUGAACAUAGUAAAAAUGAACAGAUCCGAUGAAAAAACAAAAAAUUCUCAGAUAAAAAUAGGGAUAAAGUAGAAUAUUUAUAAAUAGCUCAUUGUCUCUUAUGUCAUCAAUUAUUUCUAUAGUAUAUACAGGUUUUUGGAAAAAUUAGGUUCCCAUCCCUUAUUUUCAUAUUACAUUGAUUGAAAUCUUAUUAUUUUUCUAUUUUAGAUCAAGGUCCCUUGACUUAUUCCAUGUCAUCAUUUUAGUAUUUAAAAUAUUACACGUCAUCAUAAACGAAAUCUCAUCCCUUUCUGCAUUUAAGGCAAAAUAAACUAUAUAAGUAAGUUUAAAACAAGGAAAAUCCAUUUGAACUCCUCCAUUCUUCUUCUUCCCUUAUGCACAUCUGGAAUCUACAACACCCCAAACCCAAUUUUCUCCAUUUUUCUUCAUUCCUGAAUUGAUCCAAUGCAUAUAUGUUGAAUAAACCUAUUGUGAUUAAAAUACAAAUUAGCAUCAAUGAUUUUAUCGGCUUGUGAGAUUUGUGUGGCAUAGGCAAGGCAAUGCAGGCAUCGCUUUAUCAAAGAAUCUGGUUGAUUCAAACAUGCAGAGACUGUAGAGUGAGCGGGCUAUGUAAAAACUGUACCAUUUUGAAGUCAUUUUCUUUUGUUCUUUACAUUUUUUUUUCUUUUAUUAUUAUAUAUUAGUCUUGAUUAUUCAAUGUCUGGUUGGCUACACUUAUAUCCAUGGGUACAUUUUUAAUCUACAUGUUUCGUUCUAAUAUAUCUAUUGCUAUAAUAUGUUUUGGUUGGUUCAAAUUUGUUUUACAUAAAUAUAUGGGUACAAAGUUUUUGUAGAAUAUUAUGUAAAAUGGUUUUUAAGGUUGCUGCAUUUUACGUACCCACAUAUGCAUGUCUAUAAAACAAUGUGGUAUGAUGUACAUUCUUUUCUUUGAGUUUUUAAAUGUACCCAUGAGUUUUCUUGUAAAUUCGGUAUGUACCCAUAUGCUAUUUAUGUUAUGGGUACAUACAUUAUUUUUGGUCUAAGUUCAUGGGUACAUUACUUUUGUAUGUAUGAAUUCAUGGAGUACAUUAUUUCCCUUAAUACUACUCAAUAAAAUUCACAAAAAUAUGUGUAGCGUGCAUGAUUUUUUAUUGUAGAAAUUGUUUGUUUUUUUUAAGUCUCAUAAUUCAUGAAAUUUGUACAUAUAUGAUCACAUAAAUUUUUUAAUUUUAUUAAAUUUCUUUUAGACUUGAUCGAUUGAUUGAAUCUCAUAAUACUAGGAUUUUGAAUUACAUAAAUUCUUGGAUUUAAAUCCCUUAAAUGUUGAACUGCAAUCAAUAUUUUAAAUUACAGUUUUUUAUUUAAGAUAUCAAAAAGAUGACAUGGAAAUAUAGUAAUACUAAAAUGCUGAGGUGUACAAAGUCAAAGGACUUUGAUAAAAAAAUAAAAAACAAUAAGAUUUCAAUCUAACAAUUGAAUUGACUAGGGAUCGGAACCAAAAUGACCCUAGAUUUUUAUUGAGUUUAAUCUUAAUAAAAAAAAGACUUCUUGUAUCACAAAAAAUACAAGAACCAUUAUUUGAAUGAAAUAAAAGCUAUGGGAUGGAGAUAUAAAUGGAUCCUUUAUUUCACAAUUGGAUUAUAUUUAUUUGAUACACUGUUGUCAAUAUGAAUGCUGAGAAAAGACUACAAAAGAAAAAAACAAUUUAUAAAUAUAACUAACAAUUCCAAUUUCAAUCAAUUAGACAAUUAGAAUUAUAAGAAGAAAAAAAAAAGAAAUUUCAGUUUUCAGUUUAAAAAAAAUGAAAAAAAAAUGGUUAUCAAAGCCGUCCAAAUAAUACAAGUUUGUUUCCACUCUUUGUUUAAGCAUAGAUGCCAAUUUUUGUUUAUCAUUUUUUUAACCUUUAUUUUUUGUUACAGUAGAAGCCCUGGAAGGAAAUCGAGCACUGGACUUACCAAACUCUUAACUUAUUUCUACACACCAAGAGCUUGAUUUCGGUUCUUAUUUAUACUAUUUAAGCUAUAAGCCGUGACAAGAAUUAGAGAACUAUCAUUUGUUGUGAGCUUCAAUUGGUUAGCACUUUGUAUGUUUUCAUUAGAAUAUAUAUUUCACUUAGACUUUCUUAUUAAAAAAGGGAUCAGCUGGUGACUUUACCACGACAAUCCAAUUUUAUGGGGGUCAUGAAUACUCACAAAGGCAUUUCAGCCUCCCCCUAUAUCUACCGUCGCGUGAUUCACCAUUGUCAGAAAUCGAACCCAAGACGUGUUGUAUAGAAUACGGGCCUAAAAUUCAUUUCUAACCACUGAGUCACCCCGCGUUUGAUUAUAUUUCACUUAGACUUAUCUUGCGGUAUAGCAUGUCAUCCCCGCCCAAGUUUUUCCCUUCGCGUUGACUUUGGGAUACCAAAACUUGCCAAACAAAGUAGAUUGAUUAGUAAGCGAAGCUAAUUAUUCGACUAAACAUUGUUUAGAAUUUUAAUUAAAAGAACCAAUAUGAAUCUGUUUUUUUUUUUUUUGACAAACUAUAACGUUAAGGAGUUAAAUUGUUAGUUGUUAAGAGUACGGGGAUAGGUGAGGAUCGAACCUCCACCAUAGUGCAUAGACAUUAUUGGUUCUACAACUGCUGUAAAUCACAUAAAACAAAACGUAAUACUUUGAGGAUGGAAGACACUUCGUGGAUAGCGGGCAAUCAACACUAUCAGUUGCUAUCCAAAACUUGGAAUUAUGUUUAUUGUCCGAAGGAUUUUUCUUCCAUUAAAUUGCUAAGGAAGAUGAGGAUGGGUAGAGUGUCUAAAUGUCAAGGUUGAUAAGAACGUGUAUGGUGUUCAGCUUGCGAUUGAGAUUUGUUGAGUGGCACAACAAACCACAUAAAAUUUUCUAAAUGAUAAGCUUGAGUAUAAUUUUUUACCACGUAUUUAUCUUUAAAAUCAUUAUAAUUAGAUUUUCUCUUAAUUAAUAUAGACCGUUAGAUUCAUCUAAUGACCCAAGUUUUUUUCCUCUUUUCUUUCUACUCUUUUUUUCUUCUCUGAUUUUCCAUUCACCGUGUAGCAGUCGUUCUUCCCCAACUAAGUUUCUUAUUUUUCUUCACAAAAAAAUUGUAGAAAAUAUUAAGAAAAGAAAAGUCAUCAAUAUCAGACUCGACCAGGUAAUCGUUCCAACCUUCCCAGCAACUCUCAGUCUUAACAAGGCACCAAAUUUUCUCCGCCACCUAACUCGUCAUUCAUUUAUGGGUGUUUCAAGCUUGGUGAAAAUUGAUAGAGUUCCAUGUGUGUACACGGAUGUGAACAUAUUGGCCACUCUCUAAUGUGUUGGUUUAUCACAAAGAACCCAGAUACAAAAUUUUAAAAAGCAAACAAUUACAACUUCUCAAAUAUUAUCUAACAAACUUUCAAUGAAAUGUUGCUCAUAAUUGAAAAAAGGUUGACGAAGGACGGAGUUGGAGUUAUUUUAGAUGGGGAAGAGUUAAAAGAAGGAAGCACCAUUUAAUUAAUAAAAGCGAUUGGAGAAAUAGUAAUUCAAUGGUGGGCGUUUUUAAGGUGUGGACCUUGUAUCACACCCCGAUUCCAACAUACAUUGAGGAUCAACACGUGACAUGGGGACAUAGGGGACAUAAAUCUUAUGUAAGAUACAAAAUGAAAUACUAUAAAUAAUAUCCCAAAAUGAAUAUGAUAGUGGGUUCACCCCUAUAAAAUAUAUACGAGUUUGUACAUUCACAAAAAAAAAAAAAAAAAAAAAAAAAAAACACAUACACACACACAAAACUCUCGCUAGGCCAAGACUUGCCCAUGGUGCUCAAAGGAAAGUCCCAAAAGAAAGAGUACAAUGAAGGAUAAAGGGGUAACCUAAACACUCCAAGUCUCUGAUCUCUGCACUGCUACCCUCACCGGCUCCUCGUAAUCUACUCAGACCUAUCACAUGUACAAACAGUGCCUACAUUGUGGGAAUGGUGCAUCGGGCAAACAAAAACCCGGAUAAGCUGCAAAACUCGUGUGAGUGACAAUAAUGCAACAUAUGUGAUAAUCAAGAAAAACAUACCAUCGAUCGCAGUUUAUAAACCUCAAAUAUAACUUCAUACUUAUGAAAUCAUAAUCAAGUCACUGAAAACUUCGAAUGAGUCACCCAGACAUCCAACGACUUUUUAAAAUCAAAUCUCAGAGAUUCCAAAACUAUCAUUCACAAAUACACUAAAAACUAGGGCUAGAGUGACACAGUUCGGCCAAAGACUACAUAAGUAACCAAACAAGAAGUGGCCCCCCAUAGCGGAUUAACCAAGCAGAGCCACUCCUGAAAAAGUAACCAAGUAGGUAGUGACCCCCAUCACGGAUUAACCAAGCAAAGUCACUCCUACGAAACUGUUAGGUAGUGAUCACCCAUCGCGGAUUAACCAAGCAUGAUCACCCCUAAGUACGUAUGGCCAUACCUAAGAAAUAAGGAUCGCCCACCGCAGAUUAACCAAGCACGAUCCAAAAAUAUUAUGGGUCCCCUAUCACGGAUUAACCAAGCAUGACCAUCCAUGUACCACUACUACAUGGUGUAAAUUCGGUGUCACCUAACCUCGUGACACUAGGGUAACGGUCCUUUACUAGCCCUCACGUUUUUCAAACAUUUCAAAUAUAUAAUUUAAAACACAAUUCAUAAACAUUUCGAAUAAGGAAGUCACAUAGUGUUUAAUAAUGUAGGUCAAUGGAAAACUUUAAAAACAAUUAUUUAGCAUAAAACAUAUUUUAGAAAUCCAUGUUGUAUCCACAAAGUAUACUAGCAUGGGAGAUUUUCAGGGUAAUAACUCUAUCAUAUAUAUUAAAGUCACUCACCUGGAGUCCACACUAACGCACCCUAACACGAAUAUCAAGACGUCACGUACUAUCAUCUGUAACAUCCCACAUCAACCAACGGAGAGAGGGUGAUGUGCCUUAUAUGUACAUGCCCACCUCCAUAGCAUGAGACCUUUUGGGAGCUCACUGGCUUCAUAUUCCAUCGGAACUCCAAAGUUAAGCGAGUUUGGGCGAGAGUAGUCCCAGGAAGAGUGACCCACUGGAAAGUUCUCGUGUGAGUUCCUAGAAACAAAAUCGUGAAGGCGUGGCCGGGGGGGGGGGUUAAAGCGGACAAUAUUGUGCUACGACGAAAUUGAGACUGAGAUGUGACAGAAUGGUAUCAAAGCCACUCUGCCGUGUGGUGCGAGUGUGCCGACGAGGAUGUCGGGCCCCUAAGGGGGGUGGAUUGUAACAUCCCACAUCGACCAACGGAGAGGAGGUGAUGUGCCUUAUAUGUACAUGCCCACCUCCAUUUAGCACGAGGUCUUUUGGGAGCUCACUGGCUUCGGAUUCCAUAAGAACUCCGAAGUUAAGCGAGUUCGAGCGAGAGCAUUCCCAGGAUGAGUAACCUACUGGGAAGUUCUCGUGUGAGUUCCCAGAAACAAAAUUGUGAGGGCGUGGCCAAGGCCCAAAGCGGACAAUAUCGUGCUAUGGCGGAGCCGAGAUUGGGAUGUAACAUCGUCACCUAAGACAAAGUACAAGUCCACAUUUAAAGUUCUUCGUGUAUUCACAUAAUAAAAAAUUUCCAUAUGCCCCCUACAACUAAUGAAGAGAAAUCGAGACACGUUGACAAAAAGUCAACUGUUGAUCAACGGUAGGGUCCAUAACCCUACGUAACUCGAUCUGCAAGAUCCAGCCACUGUAUUUGUGAUUCAUAAGUUCCUAAGGUCCUUAAAUCUUACGUACAAUAACAUACUAAACUUUGGUGACGAUCUAAUUGUCGAAUCAUCAUUUGCUAUAAUGUUCAAAUGACGCAAAUUCAUCAAUCAGAUGUUAAAUAUGGAAUCGGUCAUCGAAUUUAGCUUAGGAAGGUCAAGUGGUGUCUCGAGCCACGUGCUGCCGUGCGCAGCAGCUGGCAACCCAAAUUCGUCGGAAAAAUCACCUAAUUCCAAAAUGAAUGUCGUUAGACGUGGAGUAAAUUGUAUACCUGUGAAGAAGCCCAAUUUGGUCGGGAAGUGGCCUGAAAUCACUUUAGACCGUCGGAAACCCUAAAAUAGGUGAAUCUCGAUUCGUCAUCUCCGGUAUUCCACCGUCCUCAAACUUGUUUAGGGUUUGCUCCUGGUCUCAAAAGAAUGCUAAUGAUGGUGGUGAUUGAAGGAGAAUGUUUCAGAAAUAAUGAAUCGUCGACGAGGGUUUCACGAAACCGACAUGGGUGUUCCUUGUGGAACUAAGACCAAAUCUCAACGGUUUUGGCUAGAAAUGGAUGCUGGGAUGUCGUGGUGAGGUUUGGUAGUGAUGGGAGGUCGAAGAAAGCCAAAAAAAUCGACGAAAAAACAGUCGUCGGAGUCGCAGGAAACGGGUUAGAAAAACGAGUCGCCAGGUCUGAAACGGGUCGAAGGCUUUUGGGACAGCUACUUACUCUCUCUUCUUUGAUUAGUCACUCCACUCACUCUCUCAUUUGAUUAGUCCAGCCUUCCCACAUGGUGGGAGUUCCCUCAUAUAGUAACCCAAAAUUUACUAUUUAAAUCUGGUAUCGAACGUUCGUAACUUUUUCGUUAUAGUUUCGAUUCGCAAACAGCUUUCGCCUACGCGCUCGUAUGAUCGAAUUAUACUCGAAAACAUUAAUUGUGACCUCGAAAAGGUCUACGAGUUUUAAAAGAUUAAUUACAAAAAUUCACACCUUGUAACUAUACGAUCCAAAUUCUAAAAUUAACGGAAUUAAAAUAAACUAAAAAUAAUGUAAACACGAAAUACAGACUUUAAUAAUGAAAUACGUAAUUAAUAGUAGUAUUCCGGGAACGGGAUUUCACACCUUGCGUCCGGACCUUGAGUGCGGAUCAGAAUCCAAAGGUCGUGAUCUGACAAGCUCAUGCAUAGAACGGAGUCGUUGUGACCCAAUGCAAUUCAAAACUUUUAUGUUUUUUAUUUGCUGGGUACGUUUUUGUAGGAGGAAAAGGGGAAGUCGAGGGAUUCUUUGCGCAUUAAAGAGGGAAAGAGAGAAAGGGGGAGCUAAGAGGUUCUUCGCGCGUUAAAUUUUUGCUUCUAAUUUUGCAACCUAGAAAUAAAGUAUUUUCUUUAUGGUUUAUGGUUCAAGAAUAUAAUGGAUGCAACCUAAAAAUGUUUCUUUUUUUAUUUUUUACUUUUUUUCUUCUUAUGUUGGCUUUUGGUUUAUUUUUAUAACGCACUAUAUAUUAACUAAAUUUAUAAACAUUUUGUAUCUUUGUUGCAGUCAAAUUAAUCAUAUGGGUCGGCAUGACUAAGUUCGACUGAGACAUACAGAUGUUUUGCAAUCUUAAGUCUAACCUGACACACCUCGACCUCAAUAUCCAGUGAACACCAAAAUUAAGGUGUGCUGGCCAUCAUCCGGAUGGGUGACGAAACCAUAAUAUGCAUGAAAACAUAACUAAAUUAUCAACCAAUAAAAUCUAUUGAAAAAUUUGGCAGAACAUCCCUUAAAAUAGGGAUAUGCCCAAAUUAAAAACACUUGCACAUGAUCACAAUUAUUCAAACACAUCCCGAAGGGCCACACUUAAUGGGACUUCGACCAUCUAUUACAUGCAUGAGAAUAUGUUCAGAGAAUAAUUACCCAAAUACGUCUUAUUAAAAUAUUGAGUAAAUACCAUACAAGAUAGAAUACGUCAGAGCUGUUGCAAAAUACCUCAACGUCGGAUGUAAUCACUGAUAGAAUUACUGAAUCAUGUAUAAAUGGAAAGCUGAUAAAUACAUGUAAUUUGAGUGGAUACUUACCAACAGCAUGGAUACAAUAUCAUCCACCAGUCGUAACUAGUGAAAACUGGAUAAUAUAAUCAUGUCAUUGCCGAGUAAUCUCAAGGCAAUGACAAGAUGAGAAUGUAACUGAGUAAUCAUAUCAUUACUAAAUAAUUUCAAAGCAAUGACAAGCUGAGAGUAUAACCGUAUAAUCAUGUCAUUACCGCGUAAUCUCAAAAUAAUGACAAGCUGAGAGUAUAACUGUAGUACCUCUUAUUAGUGCAAUGCAUGAUAUGAAUUCCAUCUCACAUAUAUAUGCAAGCCAUAAUCAAACCAAUAAACAUCCAACAAAAGCCACAAUCCUUUUAACAUUCGACCACAAGAUCAAUUUUCAUAUUUCCCAAACCUAGGUUCCGAAGCAUUGUUUCGAAUUAUUAAUACAAGAAACCACCACCACCUCAAUCAAUUCCUAUUCAUAAGUGUAAGCAAUUACUAAAUGCAUCACUUUCGACUCUAGUCUUAAUUAGAUUACUUGGGAUACUCAUUCACACCAUCAGAUCCACGUACAAUUUUGAUAAACUUUAAAUAGCAUGGUUAAAAUAAAUGAAACAUUUGAAUGAAACACUUUUAGAAAAUAAGUGAAGAUGUUGUUUACAAAUAUAGAUGCAUCUGUAUAUAAAAGCUUUGGCGGUUGAUUCGUAUACUUCCAGAGAUAUAAGCAAGUUCAUUGGAAUAUGCAUACAUGGUUAAUGUAUUACGGUAUAAUUAAUAAGAAAACAAUUGCAUCCCCUUCAGAUUAUAUAUAUAUAUAUAUAGACACACACACAUACACAUACAUACACACAGGCCCUUUAUGCAAAGGAAUUUCCAUUUUUUUUCAAAAAAUGGGGAUUAGUUGUGGGGCCCACGCUGCAUUGAACUUUAACGAUCCGAACAAUCUAUUUUGUAAGUCUCGAUUCAUAGAUCAUCCUUGCAAAAAUUCAAUUCAAUCCGAACCCUUUUGCCUAUUUAAUUAUCAAGAUAAAAUUUCAUUGUUUCUUAUAUAACAAAGUAUUCGUUAAUUUCUUUGAACUCAAUUAGAUAUCUUAAACAUUUCCGAUUUGGCUAAUAUUUUGCAAAGAUGAUCUAUGUGGUGCAACUUGAAAAAUAGACGAUUUCGAUUGUUAAAGUUCGAUGUGGUGUGAACCCUACAAUUAAUCUUCAUUUUUAUAAAAGAAUGGGAACCCCUCCCCUUAAAGGUUUCCUAUGUAUAUAUUUGUUCUUCAGACAUAUGCAAAAGGUAAUGUAAAACCAAUGAGAACUUAAAUAGAUAUUCCAUACAUAGGACAAUUCCAUAUAUGCUUUUUCAACAUUUAUAUCGAAAAGCCAAAUUGUUUUGAGGAAAUUAAUUGUAGUAAUGGUCCCUUAACUUUUAUCUUAUUGGAGCAAUGGUCUCUCAACUAAAAAUUCAUGACCAUUGGUUCCUUAACUCCACAAAACGUGUAGUUAUGGUCAUUUUCAUUAACUCCGUCAGAACUUUUGUUAAAACAAGUAAUGUUAGAAGAAUCAUUGCUACAAUCAGGUUAAAGUUGGGGACCAUUGCUCUAAUUGAAUUAAAGUUGAGGGAUCAUUACUCCAAAUUGCUUAAAGUUCAAGGACCAUUUCUACAAUUUUCUCAUCUAGUUUCCCAUAUUUACCCCAUGAUUCAGCUUCACAUGCAUUGCACAUGACUCAUUUUGACAAAAGUUUUAACGAAAUUGACGAAAAUGACCAUAAAUGCACGUUUUGAAGAGUAAGAGACCAAUGGUCGCAGAUUUUAGUUGAGGGAUCAUUGCUCCAAUUUGGUUAAAGUUGAGGGACCAUUGCUACAAUUUGCUCAAAUGUUUCGUAUGCGAAAAUAGGCAUUUGUAAAGUUUGGCUUGUUCAUGGCAUUAUUACUUUAGUCUAAAGUAAGGCUGGAAAUGGCACUGUAGAAAUGAAUAGUGUUCCAAUCCGAAUUUCAGUUUAAUUACAACAAUGCCAUUGCUCUUUGUGUUGCCUUUAGGUGAGCAACCCAACUUCCAGCCAGGCCCAAAUGUAUUGGUUUUAGCUGAGAAGCCCGACCUUUGGUCAGGCCCAAAACUUUAAAUUACAGUUUUGCCCAUACAAAAUAACAAUUUGAUUGUAUCGGGAAGGACAAUUUUGUCCUUUUAGUUUUGGGCGAGAUAGGGGGUAACCGGGUAGAUUUCAUUUGCUGUCGUUGAAUGAAGGUUUCGGGGAUGAAGGUUGUGUGUGUGUGUGAGGGAGAUGACGAUGGAAGGAGAGCGAAGGGGAGGGGAAGGGUUCUCGGCACUGUUGCUGCAUGUGGAUUUCACAAGUGGGUGAAUGGGUAUGGUUAGAGAAUACCAUAUAGGUUGUCGGGAUUUCAGGAAACGGGGUAGGGGUCAUGAAUGAACCCUGCUGAGAGUGGGUGCCGGAUCUUGCGCUGCAUGCCUCAAAUCAAAGAUAAGUUCAUUUUUUUAUUGUAUUCUUUAAUGGUAGCUUAGCUUUUGGAAUUGUUUAGUAUGUUAGGUCCAGUUUUGGGGGAUUUAUCUUUUAGAGAGAGAGAUGGACAGGGAGAUAAAGAUAGACAGAGAGAGAGAGAGGAGGAGGAGGCGGAGGAAGUAUGGCUGUGUGCUAUUUUUGGUGUUAAUUAAUGGGUUGGUGCGCAGGGUGAGUGACAGAGUGACAGAGUGACGGAGGGAUGUGUGGGAGGGUAUGGGUUUUUAGUUCUUUCUUUUGAUUCAAUAGGUUAUACACUGUUUGAAAAACCUUUUUUUUAUUUUUUUGUUCUCGUUUGCUUUGUUAAAACCAUCAUUUGAAUUUUUGGGUUUCACUGUGCUCAUUUCUCUGUUUCUUCAUAAUUUGUUGGUGUUUGCUUCUCAUCCCUCUGUUGGUAGAUCUUUUUCUCAUUUCUUGGUUCCUUAUGUAUUCUUUGGUACAAAUCUGUUUACUUUUUGGUUGUGUGAUAAUCUUAGCAGGUGAACUAUAUGAACGUUUUUUUGAAACGAGCACAGUGAAGCAAGCGUAGAUUGGGAGGCAACCCAAUAUUUCUAUUCAUUGCCUUUUUCUGUCAUUUUCAAUUUUCUUGCAUGCUAAACUGAAUUAUUUCUUUUCUUUGUAUUUGGGUUAUGUCCACCCUUGGAGUUGAUUGCGGAAUUAUAGUUUGGGGGUCAUCAUUUGAUUUCACUGCAAAUUGGGGAAGUUUUUAGUCCAAAUGCCGGAUCACUUCAAGUAUCACCUUCCAUUCGAAGUUCACUUCCAUGCCAUGGAACCUAUGGGAGUGUGACUGGAGGCAUCGUCCGGCUGCAAGACGUUAAAGAAAGCGCUUCUUGGGAGGCAACCCAAGCUUUCUAUCUUUCAUCUUUAUUUUGAAUAAUUUUAAAUGUUCUUGUUCUGUUUUUCUCUUAUUUUCUGGUUUUUGUAUUUAAGUCCUACUUUUGUUCCUUUAUGCAGGUAAUGAUUUUGCAAUCUCUACCACAACUUCUUGCAAGGUAGUUUUACAUUCAUAAAAACGAAAGGAACAUUAAGCAUAUAAAUACAAGAGGGAGCCUUCACAAAGGCUGCUUAGGAGAAGUUUCAGCAGUCGGCGGAGUCCCAGAAGGAGGAGGCAUCAGAGGUUGAUCAUUUGGAGCUUCAUUACGUGGUACAACCCCAGAAGACGAAGGCAAAUGCAAAUAAGGAAGAUCUAUGAAUCGCUUCACAAUCGAAAAGGAACAUAUGGUAGAAAAAUUCAAAGAUGAGCAUACAAACAAGAAGGAGUCUUCAUUGGUCAGGAGGUGUCGCAGCAGUCGAAGGAACAUCAGAAAGACGAAGUGUCAGAGCUUGAUUGUCCGGAGCACUUGGUGAAGCACCAGAUGAUGAAGGCAGAAGUUGCCUCAGGAGUAAAGCCAUAAACCUUUGAUGAUCACUCCGAGCCCGAACUUCAGCCUCUUGCAGCUGGUCCAACUUCCUCUUUAUGCUUGUUGAGUAGUUAGUUGCGAGCAUGUGCAACUCUUUAUCUUCAUGCCUCAGCGCUCUGACCUCUUGCCAAAGGCUAGCCACUUCAGCCAUCAACGACUCCACUUGACGAGUUCGAGCAAGAAGGCGUUGGCCCAUGUUUGAUACUGAGCCUGCACUUUGGACGCUGAAAGCCAAAGAAUCCUGAACAGCCUGCUCGUCAGACCGCUUAGAUAGCAUCCUACUGUCUCUUGGAGUAUGAAGAUUUCUAGCAACCACUGCAGCUGUUGCAUCAUUUCUCAUCACAGUGUCCCCAACUGUAAGAGGACCGUUGGAGGAUAUGAAAGAUGGCUGCCAAAUGUUACCUGGAGACGAGAGGUCAAUAUCUUCUUCGAUAUUCAGGUCAAAACGACGGUCGGAUGGGCUAGACAUUUUCAUAGGUGUUAAAGAAAGAAGAGGUCAGACAAGUCAAGAUAGUAGAAAUGCAAGAAGGGAGUAUUCACAGGCAGAAAUUCAUGUGUGCUUUGAACAUCCUGCGAACCUCUAUAAAAAAUAGCACACAAUGAGAUUUCAGGGAUCGAAUAGGCGAGUUCAGAGAUCGAUGAAGCGCCUGCUUUCUCCAAAGCUAGGCCUACUCAGGAAUCACAGGCUGAUCUCAGGUAGUGAAGACGCGCCUGUCUCUCUCAGCCCCGUCAGCACUUGUCACAUGCAGAGAAAACUUUGAGGAAAUCACGGGCAGUUUGUCGAAGCGCCGAUUCCAACCAUCUGUCUUUCUCAGCCUCGUCAGCUUUGAGGAAAUCACGGGCAGUUUGUCGAAGCGCCGAGUCCAACCGCCUGUCUCUCUCAGCCUCGUCGGCACUCGCUUUCUCAAAAGCUGGGCUUGAAAUCACAGGCCAAUCUUCAGUUUCUAAAUUUGUUCGCACUUGUCACAUGCAACCUCUGCACUCAACGAAGCUCAGAACUCGAAGCGCCAAUUCCGGAUAUUAAAGAAGCCUUUGCUUUAUCAGACGUGUCAGCAUCUGUCAAUUGCACAUCUGCGUUGCGUAAAUCACGCGCAAUCUGUCGAAGAUUUCUGGAGAAACGGAAUGCACGUGAAGUUUACUGUUAAAUUACCCCAGGCUUGCUGACACGAGUACUAGAACAAUGCCUUCCCAGCCAUUAAGAAAAAUUCUACAAAUGUUAAAGGCAACCUCACUCAACUUUCAGCCUCACUCAACCUUUCUUCCUCUCUGAGAAUGUAUUCCCGAAGAAGCCUCCCGAGUCACUCUGUGUUUCUCAUCCCUUGGGAUACCCCUGCAAACAACCCACCCAGAGCAAAAGUAUUUCAUAUCAUAACGGUUGAGAGCAAGAGUAUCUCAUAUCAUGCUUUCUCCCUGUCCUUUGUCUCGCCAGCACUUGGUAUCAAUCUUCCGAGCGGGGACCGACUGCCUGGAACCCAUUCCUGAUUGCUUACCUAACCUUGCUCUCGAGUACUCAUCCUUCUUAUGUUUCCUCUUCGUCUACCACAUAGGGGAAGUGAUAAUGAUACCUCGAAGCAUGUGGAUACAACGUGCUGAUUCAUCCUCAACUAAGGACAAGGGAGAAAGCAAGCAAGAUGUGGGCACUUGGAAAGAUUGAACAAAGAAACAGACUAACACCUCUACCUCGUGCCUGCCUACCGAGCAGAAGAAACAAGCAGAGAAGAAUGCAGACUGCACAAUCAAACAACCCAGGAACUCUGAUAUUCCUCGCUCAGGAUUCCAAACCAGUUUGAGAUUCGCCUACACAAAUUGGUGUGUUCUUUCCUUUUCUUUAUGUGUCUUUAUUUCAUUUUAUAUUUCUUUCCUUCCAUUUUCAUGUCUUAUUGUUCAAAAAUUCCUUUCAUUAUCAUUGGGGACAAUGCUAUAAUUAAGUUUGGGGGUAUUUGGAAAUAUAUUUCGUUAGUUUAUUUCUCUAUUAAAAAAAAAAAAAAAUUUUGCAUUUUUAUUGUUGUUUGUAGCUACUUCUCAAUUCAAUGAUGAGAUUUGAUUUUAAUUUCCUUCUUACUUUCAAGAAAGUCUAAGUUCUUUUCGUUGUCUUUGUGUUAACUGUGAUUUCCAGAAAUCAACUUGAAAAAAGAAAUGUGCCUAGUCUUGUCAAUGUGAAACUUGAGCAUGAUUUAGCGUUUCAUAUGUGAAUCAUGUGAGAUUAUGUAAACCUUGUGAGUUUUUUAGCCUAUACAUGAUUGAACCAUUAUGCAUCAAUCUCAUUCCUUCUUGUGCGUAUGAUCUCACUGUACAUGUAUCUCUAGAACUUGCUUUAUACUACUCGAUUCAUUAAUCAAUUCAUGUAAUAACUUGGAAGUGAUAUAGGCCAUCUUUGGAUCGUUUGAGCCUUUCAUGCCUACCUUAUAUGCUAUGUUUAUCCUUAGUAGCCCUUUGAGCCUUUAACUAAGCCAUUUCUUUGUUAACCACAUCUCUUUACCUUGCUCCAAUAUUGGAGUUGAGCCCAUACACAAAAAUCGAUUCCUUAUUGUUUUGAGAAAGUAUUACAUGGGUUGUGCUUUUGGGGGUUUCAUUUAUAUAGAAAGAUGGAUGGAGUAUGUGUAUACAAUGAAAUGUGAAUUUGAUGGGUGAUGUAGAUUUUGAAAAUUAUUUCAAAAGAAAAAAAAAACGAAAAAAAACGAAAAAAAUGAAAAUUGGAGAGUGUUGAUUUGUUGAAAAUGUGUCGGUAGAGUAUAAAUUUCCUUUUAAAGUUAAAUUUGGGGAGUAACAGGUGCUCGAGGUUUUAUUAUUUUGCUUUCAAUUUGAGGUGGUGUGAUAUUGAGGUGUUGGAAAACUACCAAAGUGUACUUUCUCAAAAUUUUUGAUUUCCAUAUCCUUUCUUUCAUUAGCCUAUCACCUUUAGCCCCAUUACAACCGUAAUAAAGUCCUAUUGAUCCAAGGUAUUACUUAAAUAUUGAUAAGCGAGUUAGGUGGACAAGCAAGCACAUGGCGGCAUGUACAAUGAGAUUACUUGAGUGAAACACAUUAACAAAAAAUUAUGAGUGAAUGAGCGUAUGUCUUGUGAGAAACUCACAUGUUUGCAUAUGAUGAUUUAAAGGAGCUUGGAAUUGCAUUGACAUAGCUAGCUCACACAUGGCAUUUCAACGUUUUGUUUGAAGGAAAUUUGGUUAACUAUUGGAUGAUGUUUUGAGCUCUUGCUUACUUCUUGGCAGUGUAUCUCAUGACUAGCACUUAUCUCUGAAAUCGAAAUUGAGAAGUUGGCUACUAAGUUGUUGAAUCUAGUCUUAGUUGAGUGGUUUUGUUUUGCUAGAGGACUAGCAAAAAUGUAAGUUUGGGGGUAUUUGAUCACUCAUAUAUUUCAUGCAUUUAUACCAUCCAUUUCUAAAGUCUUUGUGAUGUUUUUGUGUUAAAGUUGUGGCAUUUUACCUUACCUUGUGUUAAUGUACAGUUAAUUUUAUUUUAGGAUCAAUUUCAAAGAAAAUGGGCUGAAAAGAAAAUAAAAGAAAAGAAAUAAAUGGGACGGAAAGGAAGACACUGACAGAAUAAAAGAAUGAAGAAAGAGGUAGAACGGCAGAUAGAGAAGUGGGAAGAAAGUGGAGUGCGCAUGGGAUGGAAGUGGAACAAAAAGCAGGAGAGGGAGUGAGGAGUGCGGGAUAAAAGCAAAGAAAAAUAGAAGAAUAAGAAAGAAGUGGGAGGACACGGACUGAGUGGAAGAAUUAAAGAGAGAAGCAGGGUGCAGGCACGGACAGAAAGGAGAACUGAAGAAUAAAAGAGAAGACAGAGAAGCAGAAAAAAGAAGAGAAACUGACGUGAAAGCCAGUGCGCAGAGGGCGCAGAGAGAUAGGAGAGAUUGUGCGGGAGCAGAAGCACAGAAGCAGAGGGAACAAAAUCACAGACUGACAGCAGACGCAAGAGGCACGGCAGAGAGCAAAGCUUCACUCUAUUUUUCUUGGUUUUAUCUUCUCAAACCCAUGUUUUACUUUUGGUUUAAUUUGUGAAUUAUGUGUAACUAAAUUUUAAGUAGUUAGGGGCUGUUUUGAAGCCCCGAAUAUGAUUGUAAGUUUGUUGUGAUAUUUUGUUUGAAUGACUUUUAUGAAAGGAUGAAAAUUGUUUCACUACUUAUGUGAUUGAUAAAUUCUUUAUGUGUUUCUAUGGAUGCAUACAUAGUGAGCAUAUCUAGGAUUUUAAUGCUAUGAAUAUAUGUUUACCUGCCCUUGUUGAAUGAGGACCUACAUAUGUUCUAGAGUAGCACUUGUUAAUUGUGGUUAACAUGUGAACCGAUUUCUAGGAUAAGUAAGACAAUGCCAGUACUUAUCAUGCCUUGUGAUGACUCAAACUCUUUUCGUUCUUAAUGAUUUCUACUUGUUAAAUCUAUGAACACGACAUUCUAGAUUACAUGCUAGGGACUACGUUAAGUUGAAAACGCUAUUCUCUUAACAUACUACGUAAGAAAAAGUAAUAGGUUGUGUUCUAACAUUGAGCCAACUUGAGCAUCUUCAUCCGGAAAUAAAAGGAAUUUGAAUGAAACAUAACAUGUUUGCAUGAUUAUUUGGUGGUGGAUAGCAUUUCCCCUAAUUCGUUUUCUUAACUUGUGAAUUAAAAUCUAUUGGUAUUAUUUAAAACUGGUUGAGGUCCUGUUUUGUCCGAUUUAAUUUAAAUAGCUAAUCAACUUCAAAAAUCCCAAACAUUUGUGUGAGCAUAGCUUGGUGUGUCUAGUUUAUGUGUAUAAAAUUUCGUUGCAUUUGGAUAAGUGUAAGUUAGUCUAAUAAUUAUUGUUCGGUGGCUGGUCAGUGGAGACAACCAUCCUGUUUUUGUGACAUUUUAAGUGUUUGGAUAAAACAAUUUUCUGCGGAAAAGACCCUUAUUUUCAUAUGCUACAAUCGACAAAAUUUUAGUGUUAAUAAGGAAAAUCAAUAGGAUUAUUGUGGGCUACUUUGUGGUGCGUUAUAAUUACUACCAUGCUGUCAGUGGGUGUUAAUAUCAGGUACCCAUGUUCAGUUUUUCGUUUUGAUUUGAAGGAAUUUCUUGCGGAGAGGAGCAAGGGUUUCUUGGUGAGUUCUUCGGGUUGUGCAUAUGGGUAAUUUUCUUUUCGGUUUAACCCUCUGCUUCUGCUGCUCUCUCUCUUUCUCUCAUCCCUGCCUGCUCCUCUCCAAUUGUUUGCUGUUCUUAAAUAUUGUGUUCAUUGCCUGAUACAAGGGGCUGCAGCAAUCUGUUUUAUCCUACACGGGACAACGAGGCAAUGGCGUGACAACAGGUGAGCUUGGAUAUCCAAAGAAAAAGAACAGUUGGUUCAUCUGCUGGAGUCUGAGCUUAGAGAAGUGGAGGAAAAUUGCAGGUGUGCGAGAAAUUUUAUUUUGCUGAUAGGACUCCUUAUUUACUGAUGCAUUUUGAAAUAAUUGAAAAGUUGGAUUUGAGUUAACAGCUAUAAAAAUGUAGACAUGAUUGCUGAGAUUAUGCUAUGAAAGUGGAAUAAAAAAAUGGUAGUUUAUAAUAUUGCGUACCAAUUGUUUUCUCUCUUUUUUACCAAAUGAUAAGGGUGGUGGCUCAGGCCGCCCCCCUAAGCGUCCCCACUCUUCGACAAGUUGAAAUCGUGGUGAUAGUUUAUGGGCUGUGGUCUUGGGAUUCUGCAAAUAGAAUGAAAAACAGACACUUAACUAUCUUGUUAUUAAGCAUUUCUGCAUCAUUCAGUUGCUCUUGAUUUUCGUCUUUUAAGCGAUCUUAUUUCUGCGAUCUGACUUGAGGAGGGUUUUUAGACCUAUGGUUGUGGGUGUUUUCUCUGACCCCAUUAUCCGAGAUUUGUAGACUUGCGAUCGGCGGUCAAACAUUUUGUGAUUCUUGUUUUCUCUGCCUUUCGGUCGUUAAGCGCCGGCAGUCUUUAGAUCUUUGGCAAAUCAAUUUAAUACAACCGAGGUAUGUUUUAUAACUGCUGUCUUUCAAUUUUUGUUCUGUAUUUUUGUUAAUUUGGAUGAAGCUCUAAUAAUUUUGUUUUGGAUCAGUUGUGGUCCUCUGUUAGGAUUUUCCUGGCUAAGAGGGUAUUUGCGUUUUUGUUGCUUGGUUGGUCGAUCACAGAUUUACGAACAGCUGUGGUGGUCCUGUUAUUUUUUGGUAUGUUUUUUCUCCUUUUUGGUUUUUUUCCCGGUUUGAGCACCCAUUCUUGAAGAAUUAAAAUGUGUUUUAUAGUUUUUUCAGGAGAGAUUAGAAAAGUGAUUUCAAUUUGGGAAAAUUUAAUGUUGGUUAAAAUUUGUUUAUAAUUUUUGGGAAGGAAUGAGAGGACCCAUUGAAGUAUGUGUUGUGAUUAUUUUUUAUUCAUAUUUUUAACAAAUUGGGCAUGAAUUGGUAGGUUAACUGUGUGUGUUUAUUAUUUGAAUCGGCCAUGUUUGUCUUUCUAUGGUUCUAAAAAAUUUGUAAAGGCUGUUAACUUGGAAGAAAAUGGGAUCGAGGGUGAGGGGAAAACGGCAGAGAAAGCAUGGAAGAGAGAUUUGGGAUUAGGGGUAGGAAAACAGAUGAAAAGAAUAUGAUAGAGGAAUGGGUUCAGUUCAUUUUCACUAUUUUUUUUUAACUGAUUUGGAUUUUGUUUGGGUUUAACUCCGCCUAUGUCUUACAUGGCCGGUCCCAAGCCCGGAUAAAGGAGGAGGGGGAGGGCGUCAGGUAGUCGACAGCCGGCACUCCAUGAUCAUGUCGAAUCCUUAUGAAAAUGAAUCCAGAACAAAAUCGCGCUAAAGCUAGGACGUCACCCGUAAGUGGCGCGCUGUAUGGCCCGAGCACAGUGAUAAGUGAGCAAGGGUCGCUGUAUCUCCAUCGGCACCCGGAUGCAGUGUUAAAUGAGCAAGGGGGCCAUAGAAACUUCUUUUCGAACGACUCCACUCAAAGUUGUUUGAGAGCAUAUGCUCCUAUCAACUUUACCCGGGACACACAAAAGAAGUACUUUGAUCCUAUUAGACGGGGGAGGGUGAAGAAGCUAGGACAGAAGGGUAGAGUUCAAGAGAGCAAAAUGCGUUUAGGAACGUGGAAUAUAGGAACCUUAACGGGAAAAUCUAUGGAAGUAGUGGAAGUUAUGGUGAGGAGAAGGAUAAAUAUUAUGUGCCUACAAGAAACUAAGUGGGUUGGUAGUAAGGCAAAGGAUCUAGAAAACUCAGGGUUUAAACUUUGGUAUUCGGGCACAAAUAGAACGAGAAACGGUGUUGGCAUCAUCGUGGACAAGACCUUGGUACAAGAUGUUGUAGAUGUCAAGAGGGUAGGAGAUAGAAUCAUGGCAAUCAAGAUUGUAAUAGGACAAGAACUUAUCAAUGUGAUUAGUGCGUACGCACCUCAAGUAGGGUUGGAUACGAGUUCGAAGGAGAAAUUUUGGGAAGAUCUUGGAGACUUGGUGCAAGGAAUUGCUCAGACGGAGAAGUUAUUUAUAGGAGGAGAUUUAAAUGGACACGUGGGCAGGGAGACAGGCAACUAUGGAGGUUUUCAUGGUGGCCAUGGUUUUGGGGAGAGAAACGAGGAUGGGGAAGCUAUCUUGGAUUUUGCAAUGGCAUAUGAUCUCUUCUUAGCCAACACCUUCUUUAAGAAGAGAGAAGAACAUGUGAUCACCUACAAGAGUGGGUCGUCAAAAACACAAAUAGAUUUUCUUCUAAUGAGGAAAGGGGAUCGUAUAACUUGUAAGGAUUGCAAAGUUAUACCAGGAGAGAGCGUGGCUAAUCAACAUCGCUUGUUGGUGAUGGAUGUACAUAUCAAAAGAGUAAGACAAAAGAACAAGACUUGGAAGUGCCCAAGGACUAGAUGGUGGAAUCUAAAAGAAGAAAAACAAGCCAUUUUCAAAGAGAAGGUAAUCACCCAAUGUGUGUGGGAUAGAGAGGGGGAAGCUAGCCAAAUGUGGGAUUCCAUGGCUAGUUGUAUCCGAAAAGUAGCAAAAGAGGUAUUAGGAGAGUCCAAGGGCUUUGCCCCACACCAAAAGGAAUCUUGGUGGUGGAAUGAGGAGGUACAAACAAAGGUGAAGGCUAAGAAGGAAUGUUGUAAAGCCUUAUACAAGGAGAGGACCGAUGAAAAUGGUGAAAGGUAUAGAAAAGCGAAGCAAGAGGCGAAGAAAGCUGUCAGAGAAGCUAAGUUAGCGGCUUACGACGAUAUGUAUAAACGACUAGAUACCAAAGAAGGAGAGUUGGAUAUCUAUAAACUAUCUAGAGCAAGGGAAAAGAAGACAAGGGACCUAAACCAAGUGAGGUGCAUCAAGGAUGAGGAUGGAAAGGUUCUUGCUACAGAGAACGCGGUUAAAGACAGAUGGAGAGGUUAUUUUCAUAAUCUUUUCAAUGAAGGACAUGAAAUGAGUGCUUCUUUAGGGGAGUUGAGUAACUCAGAAGAGUGUAGAAACUACUCUUUUUAUCGUCGAAUCCGGAAGGAAGAAGUGGUUGUAGCUUUGAAGAAGAUGAAGCAUAAAAAAAGCAAUAGGCCCAGACGAUAUACCAAUCGAAGUGUGGAAACUUUUGGGAGAGACAGGUAUAACAUGGCUCACUGACCUUUUCAAUAGGAUUUUGAAAACGAAGAAGAUGCCAAAUGAGUGGCGAACGAGCACUUUGGUGCCUAUCUACAAGAAUAAGGGCGACGUACAAAAUUGCAUGAACUAUAGGGGUAUUAAGCUAAUGAGUCAUACAAUGAAGCUCUGGGAGAGAGUCAUUGAGCAUAGAUGAGGCAAGAGACACGGGUUUCGGACAACCAAUUCGGGUUCAUGCCAGGGCGCUCAACCAUGGAGGCAAUCUAUCUCUUACGAAGAUUGAUGGAAAGAUAUAGAGAUGGGAAAAAGGAUUUACACAUGGUCUUUAUAGAUUUGGAAAAAGCGUAUGAUAGGGUCCCAAGAGACAUUCUUUGGAGGAUUUUAGAGAAGAAAGGAGUACGAGUAGCAUAUAUCCAAGCUAUAAAGGAUAUGUAUGAAGGAGCAAAGACUGCCGUAAGAACUCAUGAAGGACAAACCGAAAGCUUUCCCAUAACUGUAGGAUUACAUCAAGGCUCAUCCUUAAGUCCUUACCUUUUUGCGUUGGUAAUGGAUGAGUUAACAGGACAUAUUCAAGAUGAUAUUCCUUGGUGUAUGCUUUUCGCAGACGAUAUAGUGUUGAUAGAUGAAACUCAGGAAGGGGUAAAUGCAAAGCUUAACCUUUGGAGAGAAGUGUUGGAAUCUAAAGGUCUUCGCCUAAGCCGAUCAAAGACAGAAUAUAUGGAGUGCAAGUUCAGUGCAAAUGGAGGCCAAAACGAGUUAGGGGUGAGGAUCGGAGAUCAAGAAAUACCAAAGAGCGACCGUUUUCGUUACCUAGGAUCUAUCUUGCAAAAGAACGGAGAAUUAGAUGGAGAUCUCAACCAUAGAAUACAAGCUGGAUGGAUGAAGUGGAAGAGUGCAUCCGGCGUGUUGUGUGACCGCCGUAUGCCACUGAAGCUCAAGGGAAAAUUUUAUAGGACGGCAAUAAGGCCGGCGAUGCUGUAUGGCACAGAAUGUUGGGCGGUGAAACAUCAACACGUACACAAAAUGGGUGUAGCGGAGAUGAGGAUGCUUCGUUGGAUGUGUGGGCACACGAGAAAGGAUAAGAUUAGGAAUGAGGAUAUCCGGGGUAAAGUAGGAGUAGCCGAAAUUGAAGGAAAGAUGAGAGAAAAUCGGUUACGGUGGUUUGGACAUGUGCAAAGAAGGCCUACUGACGCUCCGAUUAGAAGAUGCGACUAUGGGACAGAGGUUCAGGGCCGAAGGGGUAGAGGAAGACCUAGGAAAACUUUGGAAAGAGACUCUAAGAAAAGACUUAGAGUACUUGGAUCUAACGAAGGACAUGACACAGGAUCGAGCACAAUGGCGUUCUAAGAUUCAUAUAGCCGAUCCCACUCAGUGACUUGGAUUUUCCAAGUCUCCAACCGAGAAGUUUUCCUCACUCGGAAAAUUAAGGGAACACUACCCCAACCUACAUGCUCCACUCAGAAAGCUUCAACAUACAAGCUUCAACAAAAGAAAAUUCAAAGAACUUAGCGAAGAAGGCUUUGGUGUAUUUAACACAAUACGUUGAAAUGAAGGAAAGCUUAUUUAUUGAUAUCCCCGAUAAGCUACAAAUAUGUACAUAUACAUGAGUCAAAAUAAACACACAAGAGGGAGCCUUCACAAAGGUUGCUUAGGAGAAGUCUCAGCAGUCGGUAGAGCCCCAGAAAGAGAAGGCACCGGAGGGGGAUCAUUUGGAGCCUCAGUACUGGACAGAACCCUAGAAGGAGGAGGCAUCAGAGGUUGAUCAUUUGGAGCUUCAUUACGCGGUACAGCCCCAGAAGACGAAGGCAAUAAAUGCCUUUGGAACAAACCCACAAAUCUCUGAUGAUCAAGUAAAACCUGACCAUCAGUUUCCUUCAUCUGGUCAAGCUUCCUCUUCAUGUUUGUAGCAUAGUCAUGUGCGAGCCGGUGCAACUGUUUAUUCUCAUGCUUGAGCCCUCUAAUCUCCUGUUUGAGACUCAUCACUUCAGCCGCCAAUGAUUCAACUUGGCGGGUUCGAGCAAAUAGGCGUUGGGCCAUAUUAGACACAGAACCUGCACACUGAACACUGAGAGCCAGCGAAUCCUUAACAGCUAACUCAUCAGACCGUUUGGAAAGUAGUCUGUUAUCUUUGGGAGUGAGAAGGUUCCUGGCCACCACCGCAGCGGUCAUAUCAUUCUUCAUCACGGAAUCCCCAACGGUAAGAGGACCAGUAGGGGAGACGAAGGAUGGGCGCCAUAUGUUGUCUGGAGAAGGCGGGGCUGCCUCUUCAACAAGGUUCAAGUCAAAACGACGGUCGGAGGGGCCAGACAUUUUCAAAUGUGUUGAAGAGAGAAGAGGUCGGACAAAUCAAGAUCUUAGAAGUGCAAGAAUGAAGCUUCUACUGGUGGAGAUUCAAGUGUGCUUUGGAACUUAAUGCCAGCCCCUAUAAAAAUCUGCACUCGACGGAGCUUCAGAAAUCGAAGAGGCGCCUGCUCAGAAAUCGAAGAGGCGUUUGCUUUCUCAAAAGCUGGGCUGCUUAGAGAUCACGAGGGUUGAUCUCAGAAAUCGAAGAGGCGUUUGCUUUCUCAAAAGUUGGGCUGCUCAAAGACCUCGAAGGCUGAUCUCAGAAAUCGAAGAGGCGCUCGCUUUCUCAAAAGCUGGGCUCCCUAGAGACCACGAGGGCCGAUCUCAGAAAUCGAAGAGGCACCUACUUUUCCAGCCUUGUCAGCACCUGUCACACGCGCACACUCAGCUUUGCGGAAAUUAUGGGCAUUCUGUCGAAGACUUCUGGGGAAGUAGAAAAAACACAUGAAUCUUACUGUUCAAUCACCCACUUCCCACACGCAACAAUAGCUCAUGGGUACCACAGAUAACUUUGCCAAAGUUCUCUGCCAAAGUUGAGCACGUGAAGCUUGCAGCUCCCACUACAUCGCUCUGACCAAGAAGGGUAAAAGAAUAGCAAAGAAACACAGCACUAACAAAGUUUAGACCCAUAAAUUUUGAAGGUCUAGCUACCAUAUUAUUACCACACACAGGGUAAAGGAACAGUACCACUGCUGGAUAAUUGGAAAGUCCCUGUUUGUCAACCUCUGUGCUUCGUGGCAAGGUAGACUAGCAAACAUGCCCAACCUUUACUCACAUUCGAGAAAACACUCCCAAUAAGAUUGCUUGCUCCAAAAUCGAAGAGGCACCGUCCUCCGAAUCUCGAGAGCCAGACUCCCAACAUGACUACUUUCUUAAAAAUCGAAGAGAGGGUAAAGGAACAGUACCAUUGCUGGAUAAUUGGAAAGUCCCUGUGUGUCAACCUCUGUGCUUCGUGGCAAGGUAGACUAGCAAACAUGCCCAACCUUUACUCACAUUCGAGAAAACACUCCCAACAAGAUUGCUUGCUCCAAAAUCGAAGAGGCACCGCCCUCCGAAUCUCGAGAGCCAGACUCCAAACAUGAUUACUUUCUCAAAAAAUCGAAGAGACACUGCUCCCCGAAUCUUCGAGAGCCAGACCCCCAGCAUGAUUGCUUUCUCAAAAAUCGAUGAGGCAUCGUUCUCCGAAUCAAUCGAAGAGGCGCUCGCUUUCUCAAAAGCUGGGCUGCUCAGAGACCACGAGGGCCGAUCUCAGAAAUCGAAGAGGCACCUACUUUUCUAGCCUUGUCAGCACCUGUCACACGCACACUCAGCUUUGCAGAAAUUAUGGGCAUUCUGUCGAAGACUUCUGGUGAAGUAGAAAGCACAUGAAUCUUACUGUUCAAUCACCCACUUCCCACACGCAACAAUAGCUCAUGGGUACCACAGAUAACUUUGCCAAAGUUCUCUGCCAAAGUUGAGCACGUGAAGCUUGCAGCUCCCACUACAUCGCUCUGACCAAGAAGGGUAAAAGAAUAGCAAAGAAACAGCACUAACAAAGUUUAGACACAUAAAUUUUGAAGGUCUAGCUACCAUAUUAUUACCCACAAGGGUAAAGGAACAGUACCACUGCUGGAUAAUUGGAAAGUCCCUGUGUGUCAACCUCUGUGCUUCGUGGCAAGGUAGACUAGCAAACAUGCCCAACCUUUACUCACAUUCGAGAAAACACUCCCAACAAGAUUGCUUGCUCCAAAAUCGAAGAGGCACCGUCCUCCGAAUCUCGAGAGCCAGACUCCCAACAUGACUACUUUCUCAAAAUCGAAGAGAGGGUAAAGGAACAGUACCAUUGCUGGAUAAUUGGAAAGUCCCUGUGUGUCAACCUCUUUGCUUCGUGGCAAGGUAGACUAGCAAACAUGCCCAACCUUUACUCACAUUCGAGACAACAGUCCCAACAAGAUUGCUUGCUCCAAAAUCGAAGAGGCACCGCCCUCCGAAUCUCGAGAGCCAGACUCCCAACAUGAUUACUUUCUCAAAAAUCGAAGAGACACUGCUCUCCGAAUCUCGAGAGCCAGACCCCCAGCAUGAUUGCUUUCUCAAAAAUCGAAGUGGCAUCGUUAUCCGAAUCUCGAGAGCCAGACUCCCAACAUGAUUACUUUCUCAAAAAUCGAAGAGACACUGCUCUCCGAAUCUCGAAAGCCAGACCCCCAGCAUGAUUGCUUUCUCAAAAAUCGAAGAGGCAUCGUUCUCCGAAUCUCGAGAGCCAGAUACCACAUACCACUUUUUCAAAGUGCUCUGACAGAGUUAAAACAUGUGAAACUGGCAGCUCCCACUACCGUGCUAUGACCAAGCAGGGUAAAGGAAUAACAUUACUACUUGUUAGGGAGACUCCUAUAUAUGUUGACCUCCAUCCCCAACAGACAGGCAGACCUGCAAAAAUGCUCAACCCUUCAUCAUAUCUGAGAGGGCACUCCCAACGAAGCCUUUCGAAAUAUUCAGCUUUCUUUCCCCCCGAUAAUACCUCUGCAAACAAGCUAUACUAGAGCAAGAAUAUCUCAUAUCAUCAGGGUUAAAAGCAAGAGUAUCCCAUAUCAUGCUUUUUCCCUGUCUUUUCCUUUGGCCUUGUUUUUACCUGCAAGACAAGGAGAAAGAGAGCAAUCAGUCAGCACUUGGAAUCAAGCUUCCAGCUAGGAACUGACUGCCUGGAACCCCUUACCUGAUUACUUACCUGGCAUUGCUCUCGAGUACUCAUCUUCAACAUCUUAUGUUUCCAGGGAAGAUUCCGCAUCUGCUUGAGGAACAGAUAGGGCAAGUGCGAAAGAUACAAGGAAGCAUGUGGAGACAAGCGUAACAGCACACGUGCCGAUACAUCCAUUACUCUGUCAAAAGCAAAAGUAUCCCAUAUCAGCAGGGUGGAAAGUACUCUAGAUUUGAUGGACUUGUUUUGACCCUCAAAUUCUUCAGUCGACCUUAUACUCUGGAGGAAACCAGAAAACCCUCCAGCUCAGUUCAAGAAUAAGCCUGUGGAAAGUUACUUCUUCAAAAGCAAAAGUAUCUCAUAUCAUCUCUUCUCAUUUUUCUUCUCUUUAUCCUUCAUGCUGCUGCAAGAUGGGGAGAAGGUGAACAAUCAGUCGGAGCUCUGAUUGCUUACCUUGUCUGUCACCUCUUUCAGCAGACCCCUAGCUCGGCGACUUGGGGGACUCCUACUACAUGGUUUGUAUCGCGCUUGACCAAGCCUGAAACUACAAGUAAGCUUCAAGUGAAAUUGAUACAUUACCUUGUGCAUCUCCACCAGUUAAAGAUACCACCCCUGGAUGGAGGAAGAGUACUUCCAGAAAAGAUGCCACAUCUACCUAUGAGACAGAUAAGGCAAGUCAAGACGACACCACACUCCGAUACUUAGAAGUUUCGUGAUUACGAGAUCAUUCUCCCACAAUAUUUCCUAAUGUCAUUUGUACUAAAUCAUUCACUUGUACUCACUAAAGGAGAGCUUGAACCUAUGUACUUGUGUAAACCCUUCACAAUUAAUGAGAACUCUUCUAUUCCGUGGACGUAGCCAAUCUGGGUGAACCACGUACAUCUUGUGUUUGCUUUCCUAUCUCUAUCCAUUUAUAUACCUAUCCACACUAAUGACCGGAGCAAUCUAGCGAAGAUCACAAAAAGCGACCGUUUUCGCUACCUAGGAUCUUAUCUUGCAAGAGAACGGAGAAUUAGAUGGAGAUCUCAACCAUAGAAUACGAGCUGGAUGGAUGAAGUGUAAGAAUGCAUCCGGCGUGUUGUGUGACUGUCGUAGGCCACUAAAGCUCAAGGGAAAAUUUUAUAGGACGGCAAUAAGGCCAACGAUGUUGUAUGGCAUAGAAUGUUAGGCGGUGAAGCAUCAACACGUACACAAAAUGGGUGUAGCGGAGAUGAGGAUGCUUCGUGGGAUGUGUGGGCACACGAGAAAGGAUAAGAUUGGGAAUGAGGAUAUCCGAGGUAAAGUAGGAGUAGCCGAAAUUGUAGGAAAGAUGAGAGAAAAUCGGCUCCGGUGAUUUGGACAUGUGCAAAGAAGGCCGAAUGACACUCCGAUGUGACUACGGGACAGAGGUUCAGGGCCGAAGGGGUAGAGGAAGAUCUAGGAAAACUUUGGAAGAGACUCUAAGAAAAGACUUAGAGUACUUGGAUCUAACGGAGGACAUGAUACAAAACCGAGCGCAAUGGCGUUCUAGGAUUCAUAUAGCCGACCCCACUUAGUGGGAAAAGGCUUUGUUGUUCUGUUGUUGUUGUUGGAUUUUGUUUGGGUUUGAGGCCAUCAUUGGCGUUAAGACGUUUAUUAUCAGAUCGUGUGUUUUUUGCUAACUUUUAUUGGUAAUUUUAAUGUUGUUCUUAUGAUUUUGUGUGGUAGGGUUUCUGAUUUUUAUCGUUAUUCAUUUGGUUUUUUGUGUGUGUUGGUUUGUUUAUUUUGCAGGUUGUGUUUGUGCUGGGACAACAUUUUCCACCUUCUGUUUGCACUGGGAUGAUUGCGUUUUAAAACUGUUGGGGUGAGAUUUACAUAUGGAAUCAUUCCAUUUUUUUUCUUCCAAAUAUGUGCAUUUAGUUCUCUUUUAUUUUAAAUUUUAAAAAUUAAAUCGUUAUUUGAGUAAAAUGUUUUAUCAGUUUAUGUUAUGUGUUGUGACCAGGAAUUCUGUUGGAUUUGCGAAUUUUGGUUUGAUGAGAGAAAUGAGGAGUUUUUUUUGUUUGAAUUUUUUAUUGGACCGAUUUUCAAUUGGAUUGCAUUCUGCCUUUUUGCACCAUUCGUAUGCAAGCAAUUCAUUGUUUUAAAUACAAUUUGAAGAGAGCUGGGUUGCGGGUUGGAUAUAAAAUGUUAAGGUGAGAUAAAAUCGAGAUACCAAGGGUGGAAGAAUGAUUCAGAAUUGGGGGAGGAAAACAGAGGGAAGAUAGAAGAGUAUAAGAGAAGGAUAGGGUUGACCUCAUUUAGAGUUUUUAUUUACUUAUUUUUUUUUAUAAAUUGAUUCAGGACUUGCAUAUCAUUUCUAAAUUUCUAACAUUUUUGUUUAAUUUGACUCCAGUUGAUGGAAAACAGAGCUCUUACUCCUAUCAAUCAGUUGGUCCCGUACAUAAAUGCAGAAAAAUCAAGGUUCGAGUUUGCAGAGUAUGCAGACCAAGGUUUCCCGAAACUACUGGUGCAUAUUCAGGCUUGCAUUGUAUAUUACUUACCUAUUAAAAAUUUGUUUGGAAUUUGCUUUUCCCACAGAGGAGAAGAGCUGACAGUUACGCUGUGGGCAGAUGUUGCUCGAAGUAUUGCUUCUUUAUCCAUUGAAUCAUUGUCUCUGCCGAUCAUUGUGGUUUUCACAAGUUUAAAGGUCAAGCUGUACCUAGGUAUUUGACUUAGUUAAAAACUAAUCUAUUUACUAUUAAUUUUUCUAUUAUAUUCAAACGUUAUUUAAUAUAUACUCUACUAAUAUUUUCUUAACAUGUCACACAAACAUAUUCACUUCUUUUGAUCAAUUUUUUACAGCGUUUCAUAUAAAAGCUAACAUUUAGUUGAAAUUGAUUAGCAACUCUUUUCUUGCAUGUAUACAUACGAAUUAAACAAUAGUAUUAAACUAUUUGUUAUCAUUCUCAGUUUUUGUUUUAGAAUUAGAUUAAUAUAUUUAACCUGUUUUAGAAUUAGAAUUAUUUGGUAUCACUCUCAGUAUUUGUUUUAGAAUUAGAAUUAGAUUAAUAUACUGAGAUUAUUUAGACAAAUCUAGCAUUUUCUCAAAAUAUUUGACUUUUAAACUUAGAUUAAUAUAUUUAGCAGUUUUUUAACAUGCAAUUUUUCAUUAAUUUUUCAACACACAGACAAGAUAGUCUUGAACACCAUUGGUUCAUCACUUUUCUUCAUUGAUCUAGAUAUUCUGGAAGUAAAUUCAUACAAAUCAGUGUAAGUGUGUUUACUUUGUUUAAAAAAAUAUUAUAUGCUCUCACAAUAAAAGAAGGGCUAUUCUCACAAAAUUUAUGAACUAAUGUUCUGUUUUAACCUCUACAGCUUUUCCAAAUGCACAGAACCUCUAAAAAUACUGCCACCUUUUACAAAACAGGCCCGUGAAGCUCAAAUCUUGCAGACAGCGAAGGUCACAAUUGCAGACGCUGAAAUUUUCAUGCCAAAAUAUGAUGUGGAGGAUGAGAAAUUGUUUGCUGUUGUUCUCUUUUCAGUUUUGCAGGCGAUGAUCUUUUACCAAAUGUCGAGGAGCUUCCAUGGGACAUGCUCUAUGCUCUCGCUUCCCAGUUGCCUCUGUUGGGGUUGGAAAAGCUACAGAUCACAAUGUAAGUCAAAAACAGUAAAGUUCCCAAGAUGUUCUGUGCUGGAGCAGAUUUAAAGGUACGAAUUUUUAAUUUUUUUGUGAAGUCGAUGUUUUGUUUUAAAAGGAGUUAUAAUGGAUUGAUUGGACAAGUACAGAGUGUUUGUUUGUUUGGUUGAAUGUAAAAAGGAAUUGGAAGAAUGAUGAAAGUACUUGCAUUUGGUUGUAGUUGGUCAGGCACUGAAGGACCGGUCAAUACGAAGUGCAUCUGUGGGACAAUAGUUGAAAGAAGGCCAGAGCAGGAAGAGAAGGCAAGGUUUGUGAAGAAAAACAGUAAAAGGUCGUACCCAGUGCACAAGGCUCCCGCUUUACGCAAGGUCUGGGAGAGGUGAAUGUCGGCUAGCCUUACCCCCAUUCUGCUUUUGUUUAAUUAGAAGAAAUGUGCAUUUUUUUUUCCCAGUCAAAUUCUGCUUUUGUUCUGACUAUUUUCCUUACUGUAUGCUGAUUUUAUUAUUUAAUUUUUGGUUUUUCCUUGAUUGGCUUGGGAAUUACAAUCAAAUGAUGAAUCUUCAGUUUACUUGGGUAAGCAUUUUUUAACAUAUAAUUUAGCUGACCAUUUUAACUGUCAGACCAUGUUGUUUUUGGUUAUCUAAUCAUUCCAAGAUGGCAAGUUAGGAUUGGAAGGGUUGCUAGAAAUAAGGAUUAUAUCUUGGGACAUUCGGUGAGUGAUUUUUCAAACUUUCAGUUUUACAAGACAAAAUAUCUAUUUUUGUGUGUAUUCUUCAAGCAUGUUAUCAUUAUUUAGGUUGUAGGAAAAAAAGAGAGUGACUUGAGGUGUUUUUAGAUAUUUUUGUGUGUAUUCUUCACAAUGUAUUAAAAGCGCGAGGCGUGGGCGAGGCGUCCGAGGGAUAGCCCACGCCUCACGCCUUACGGGACCUAAAUUUUUUAAUAUAUACACUGAGCGUACACAUAUAUUAUAUUAAAAAAAAUUAUUAAUCAAUAAUCACCCUGAGCACACAUAUAUAUUAUAAAUACAUAUAUACACAUAUAUAUACAUAUAUAUACAUAUAUUAUGUUAUAUAUAUAUAUAUAAAAUAGAGGAUGAAAAGCACAAUGAGCACACAUAUAACAAUGCAUGCAGACAGCACACAAUAUAGUGCAAGGAAUAGGUAUGAGGUAGUUAAAACCCUACCCAAAAUCUGGGUUUGGGAGUAAAAAUAAAAAAAAAAAAAAAAAUUGCAUGAGGCGCGCCUAGACGGCUCCGACAACGCCUUCCGGCGCCUUCCGCCCACUCCCUCAAAACAAAGGCGGCAACCCUCAAGUCCAGCCUCACAGGGUGCCUAGGCGCACCCUGAGGUGAGCCUUUUAAAACAUUGAUUCUUCAAGCAUGCUAUCAUAAUAUUUGUAACUAUAAAAAAUAAUAUACUAUUAUACCUCUGUUUCUCUUUUCUUUGUUUUCAUGAGAAAUUAAUUGCCAUUGGCAGCACUAUAGAAAGCCAUCUUUCUCCAUUAUUCUCCGCUUCAUGCAUAAUUACAUAAUUCUACUAUCACAGUUGUCAGUCCUGAACAAUAAUGCAAGUCUAGUGGCAAAAACCACCUCAAUGAACAACUCACACACACACACAGACACUGAUCAUACAUCUCUAACUCUCUUUUUCAAAUAACACACUCUGAUCCAAAACAGGGUAAAUAAAAUGCACAUCCUUAUACAUUUCUAACUUUGUUUUUCGAAAUCCAAAAUAGGGUAUUCUAACUCUCUUUUUCAUUCAUUUCUUACAAACCAAUCAUACAUUUAAAAUAGGCUUUGAAUAAAAAUAGGGUAUAUAAUUAUAUACCUCAAAAUGCCUAGGAACCAACUUCCCCCUCCAACGAUUCAAAUUCUUGAAAUUGCCAACACAGUAAAUCCAUUAGUACUAUAUAAAUGAAAACACAAUUGAAACCCAUCAAACAAAACAAUCCCACAAUUUAAAUGAUUCAAUCCUACUACAAUUGAAAUUCACAGAAAGAAUGAAAAACCAGAACAAAACUGCAGCACCUAAAAAGUUGUCAUACAAAAAAAAACAUGGAAUGUAAAAAUAUGUUAAGAAAUCUAGUUCGUUAAUUUCCAGCUGCUAAGUGGCAUUAUGUAACUUUAGUAGUAUAACUAAUUAACUACUUAUCUGGUGGGUUGCACUUUUAUCCAAUUGGUAAGGAAAGGAAAAUAAAAAUCAACCCCUUGGUCUUAGUUGUGGCUGCAAAGUGCAGGCCACCACCAAGUCUCAGUGUUUGUGUUUUAGCAAAACACUUAAAUAAAUUAAAUUCUGAAACGUAAAUUAUAUUCCUAUAACUUUAAGAUGCACAUAUAGUAUUGUUGAAGUCGAACUGAAAGCACUGACAAUUCCAAGCAACAAAGCAGCAAUUAUUAAGAGCCAAAACUCAUUCCUAGUCUCCUCAUCCUGGUACUCAACUCCGUAAUCUUCUGUCAGCAUCAUUGACUGAAAUUAGGAGAGAAAAAGAAAAGGAAUUUCAGAAAUUGUCUAUGAAGCAAAGGAUACUGCAGUUACUUCAAGACAUGUAAAUUGCAUAUGUAUAAAGUAAUUUUCUACAUAAAGUAAUGAGGCAUAACUUUCUCUCUCCUCUUCAAACCCUAAACAGAGCAAAGCAAACUUUACAGAGAUUAGAAUGAGAACUGGAACUAAUCGAACAAUGACUGAAAAGUAACAUACUUGAGGAGUGAAUGAUUUAGUGUUUCCAUCAUCGGAAGCCGGAGUAAGUCGCUAAGAGAGGUCGCAAACAGCCCAAAGGGACAAACCCAGAUCCCCGGCCCCGAUCCAUACCCUUCCCCCUCAAAUCCCGACGGCCCCCAUACUUUUCUCUGACUGUACCCCCUCUCCCACUCAUGAAAUCGAGGAUCUGUCGCAAUGGUACUGAGAUCCCCACUCCUCCCUCUCCCUUUCUCUCUGUCGCUCUGUCUCCCUCUCCCUCUGUCUGUCUAUCUUUAUCCCAGAGCGGCAUGGCCUCCCAUCCCUGAAACCCUCACCGAAAGUUGGCAAUUUUGUAAAUAACUUGAAAUCCACCAACAGCAGGGGUAGAGAAUUGAAACAAACAUUUAGGCUCGUUCGAUAACCAUUUAGGCCAAAACUGAGCACACCUAAACCAUUCCUACUCGUGCCAAAUGUUAGUGGGGAAGCAAGAUGAUGACUUUAUUAUUCAAAACCAAAAGAAAAAAAGAGAGAAAACAAAAUAACAAAUGUAAUGGUUGUAGUGUAAAAGCUGAGAACGUAAAUAAACAUGCAGGGAAAAAAAUUGAAGAUACAAAGUAGCUGCAUCAUGAACACUUACUCCAAUUAGACGCAAAAAGUGAUGGUGAUGAGAAGAGAGAGAAAAUGCAGUCGUUUUGAUUUUUCUGGCUUUUAAAGGGAGCAGCUUUCUUCGACCACCAAAAAAAGGAAGCUGCUUUUCGUGUGGUUGUGAUUUCCUGAGUGUAUGUGAGCGGGUCUAUGGCACUUGCACUGUUUGUGUCGGUUACGGUAACCGGGCGAGCUGGACACGGCAGCGUGGGACUGAAUUCGGAGAGGUGAGAAAAAUUAAAAACACAAAAAGAAGGUGUUCAUUUUGUCACAUUUUUAUUACGAAAAAUUCAAUAAAGUACAUUCAUUAGUAUGGUAACUUAACUAUUUAAUUCCAUCUCAUUAAACUAAAAAAAACAAUUACAAAAAAAUAAGGAAAACCUUGUCCAGAGAGACCUGAGAGAAAGUGACGACUUCUCCUCUCAUUCAACUCCAUACUUGAUCUCUAAAGUCCAUUUGGCAUGUAAUUGAUGUUCACUUUCAAAUUUAGUGGUAGCAAUUAGCAAAGCUAAUGAAAGAAUCAAAUAAAAUGAAAGAAAAAGCAUCAUGAAAUAAAUCAAGAUGAAGAAUGAAAUUUUGGCAACUCGCCAUUCUCUUCUUUUAUAUAAAAGAUACAUCCUAUUUGUAGUGAAAACAGAUCCCGACAAACCCAGUUAUCCUCAAGAAGUAUUUUGUAUGACUUUAAAAACAUAAUCCGUGAAAUUAUCUCUUGGCUGAGAACAACAACAAAUCUUCAUGCAUAGCUUGUAGAGAAAGACAUCAGGCAUACAAAAGAACACGCAAGCAUAAAAUAAACGAAGCAGGGAAAACCAAAAAUACAAUUGAAUACGCUGUCAAAAGAACAUGAAUAAAUGAAAAUACCAAACAAAGCAGUGAUGAGAAACCAAAGUACCCAUUUCAUAAUCUAAUUGCUUUUUAGUUUGCUUGCCAUUUUUAGUUCUUCAAUUUAGAGAGACACCAUAAUUCAGCACAUGAAUAAAGUGAAAACGUAAAAGAUAUGUGGGAUAGGCUGACAGCCAUCCCUGAGUAAUGCAUUCACUUCUGAACCCCAAACACACUGAAACAAAAAUUCACACACAUGAACUACAGCUCCGCUUUGUAACAAGAAUUAAAAGCAUCUCAAAACAAAAUGGCAAACUAUAAGAGCAUUGUAAAAGUAAAAUUGCAAGAAAUCUAAUACUUGGAGGGCAAGUACUCAUCAGACGAAAAUGAAAGAUUGAACUACCUCGCGUGGAACUGUGCCUUGGUUUUUUCCCAUGCUUACAGGAAGCUUUGCACUGAGCUCUUAUAGUCCAAAUUUUCUCUGAAGGAAAAAAACACAAUUUUGAAAUAAGAUUUUCGUAUUAUACCUUAAAGAGAAGAAUUAGACAACAAAAUAGAGAACAAUGAGUACUAUUCAUCAUAUAUUGUUAGAGUAUGUGGCCCUCUGGUCCAAUGGUCCCGCAGCCAUAUUUCCUUUAUAACUCUUUCUUUUAAUCUAAAAAACAUCUUGAAUCUCAAAUUAGUAUGAAUACGGAUUCAUACUUUAUAACUAAAGAUCUUACUGCUCUUGAUAAGAUGAACAAUACGCCAUUUCUCGCAUGCAUUGCAUUACAAUCACAAUGCAACAUCUCAUUAGAAAUCCCCACACAAAUUUUUUUUAUUGCUACUUUGAUUUUAGUUUAUAUUUUUUCUGAAGCAUGAGGGAGCUAAUUUUUUUUUUUAAAUUUUUUAUUCCAAUAAUGUUAUAGGGAGGGUUGCAAGGAUAUUAUCAAUUGUAUUUGAUUGGUGGAACUUCUACAUCUAUAUUUUAGGUUUUCAAUUUUAGCACUGGGAGAGUCAUUCAUAAAAUGUUUGACAGUGAGAUUACCUCCAUGGACUAUGCUCACAAUGGACAGCUCAUUUUCCGCGGUGAUGGGACAAUAUAUUUCAGUCAUUCGCCAUUCAAUCAAUUCAAACUGAGGAACAUGCAACAUCAAGAAGAGGAUCUACCAUGUCAGGAUCACUAUCGUCCAAUUAAUACAAAAAAAUCUAGAUAAAAACGAUCAAUUUACAUAAAAGCCCUUCAUUUUCUCAGCAACCAAGCAAAAGAAAAUACCUAUCCGUUAAACACUCGAUUUGGGAGUAAAUGUUGCUGAAACUGGACUUCAAUCCCCUCAACCGCAACAACCGAAUCGAGGUGUGCAAGUCAUUGAAAAACUCACCCAAGAUUUCAAAAUCUGCAUAGAGAAAUAAAUAAGCACAUAAAUUAGCCCAACCCAUAAAUCAAAGAAAUCAAAAUCCACCCAGAAUCAAAGAAAUCAAAAUCCAUCCAGAACCAAAGAAAUCAAAAUCACACACAGAUAUGCAAGACAACGCAAAUUUGAAGCCUUACUUUUCGGGUAGCUUGGCGGCUGACAUGAGUCUUCUUCAGAGUUUCAUCCAUCCAUGGAUCCAUUUGGUCCGCCCGUCGCUUCUGGGUCGUACAAUCUUAAAAUCUGCAAAAUGAAUUUAAAGAAUCAAUUUUUACGAUUGAAAAGCCAAAAGUGCUACAAACUCCAAAUUGCUGAGAACCAAAGUGGAGUAACAGUUACAGGUCACGAGAUGAGAUGAGGACAUUGUCGGAUUUCAGGGCGAACCUGACUCUGGAAAUUGCAUCUCGGAUCGGGCUUUCGAACUUCAAAGGAGCUCCGCUCAUUGUGGUCCUUGCAGACCGAACUGGCCUAACAAUCAGCGAGAGAAAGGAGACGGCGGCAAGAUGAGGGAUACAAUGGAUGCGAGAUCGUCUGUAUCGUUCUCGCGGGGGGUUUGCAAGACGGACGAGGAAAGUAGGGUUUGAUGAGGCAUUGUCUUCGCGCGGGGUAUGUGUCCUUCCCAUUCCAUGAUUAUCAACACGUGUGCAUCAACAGAAGCGGCAGAGAGAGGCAUUAUUGUAAAUAAAGUGAAAUCGAAGGGCAAUGGCCCUUUUUUUUUUAAGGUAAUGGCAUGGCCAUAAAUAGAAUGAAAUCCAGAUCAAAACACUGUCAUUUGUACAGUACAAUUUCUCCAUCUUCUUUAGACUAAAGUAAUGUAUAUGUUAUACGCACCAACACAAGUCCUUCUUAGAUAAAUCCAAGCCAAACAAUUACAGACGAUAGUUAUUCACAAAAUCACUUUAAAGUAAGAAUUUAAUUAAUAAUACAUUACUGCACUUUCUUAACAAUUUGACUAUCACCUAGCUGACAAUGAACAUGUUAGCUAUGCGUUAGAACAUAUUGGGUUCAAUCCAUUGUCUUGAAUAUUACCCCCAGUCACAGCCGUCUCUUGGGGGCAUACAGAAGGCCUGAGAGGCAUUUGCAGACAUUCAACAUCUCCUCCAAGCAUUUCGACAACUUUGGACAUCGAAGGGCGAUCACUUGGUUUCAUUUGAAUACACCACAAGGCGGUUAUAACCACCUUUCUUAUCACUUUCUUUUCCUUCUCUGUAACAUUGUCUAUUUCCAAGUCAUUUCCCACAAAAUACUGAUCGUAUACCUACAGCGGGAAGUAGAUUUGGCUUGGAUGCUCUACCGUUGCAUUCAAAUUCUUCCUUAUGCUUGCCAUUUCCAUCAACAACAUUCCAAAACUAUAGACAUCGGCCUUGUAUGAGACACCUCCAAUAUUUUUGUAGAACAACUCAGGAGCAAUAUAUCUCAUUGUACCCCGUGCUGUCGUCAAAGAGACAAUGCUAUUAUCUACUGGAUACAAUUUUGCAAGCCCAAAGUCAGAAACCUUUGCUUUAAAGUUCUCAUCAAGAGGGAUGUUAUGAGGCUUGAUGUCAAAAUGUAGAAUUUUCAUUUUACAACCUUGAUCUAGAUAUUCGAUCCCAUGACUCCAAGAGAAAUCUUGUACAUAGUCUUGAUAGUUAAGGGAAGACUUCCUUCUUUGGAAUAAAUGUAUUUAUCAAAAGAGCCAUUAGGCAUAAAGUCAUAUAUUAGAGCGCGCUUUGAUCCCUCGACACAAUCACAAUCACAAUCACAAUCACAAUCACAAUCACAUUCCAACAUGGAAUCCUCAGACGACAUGCCUACUGCAGAACAAGUUUCAUCCUUACUUAACUUCUAUUUAGUCCACUUCCUGUUUAGAUUGUAAUCCUAGUUCUGCGUGUGUUUGUAUAGUACUCCUAUAAAUAUCAAUGAAAACCGCUCACUCUAAUUAGGAGUUGAGAUUCUGCAAAUCAUAUUUACUAUCUUUCAUGGUAUCACGAGCCAAGGUCUAACGACAACGGUUCCUGUUAUAAUUUUUUUCUCUUUUGUAGAUCCUAAACUAUGGCAUCUUCUUCCUCCUCCGAUGCUCCCUCCGUCACAAAUUUUCUUACGAUCAAGCUCGACCUCAACAACUACCCUCUCUGGCGUGCUCAAUUUCUUCCCUUGCUGCGCAGCCGCAACUUACUCUCUUAUGUUACUGGCGAAACUCAAUGCCCAUCUGCCUUUGUUCUUGAUGACAAUGGUAAAUUCACAGACAAAGUCAAUCCAUUAUAUAAUGAAUGGAUCCAGACUGACUAGAUGAUCCUAUCUUGGAUUACGAGUUCUCUUACUCCCAAGGUUCUUGCUACGAUCGUCAACAAAAUUGAUUCGACCUCUGCUUGGUUGUCAAACCCGAAUUAAUCUGAUUAUGGGGGUUUUAUUUUAUAUCAAUAUAUUGCAGCAGAAGUCGCACUUUGAAGAGUUCAUGCUGCACAGAAAGAU